rnacentral:lncRNA from 1 species
UUUCUAUUAUUCUAUCCUGUUUUUUUUGUCUUGAUCUUGCAGGGCAUGGAGGUGCUGGUAGUGGAGGAGGAGCAUGCAGCGGUAGAUGGUGUCAGACGCGUGGACACGCGAAGCCAGCGAUUGGCGAGUAGCGGCGGUGGGCGUGCGCAGGAGGUGGCAGCAACAACAUGCGGCUGAGGUUUCUUUUUGUGUUUGAAAGUUGGUGUAGUUUUGGGCCAUUCGGGCCUCUAGGGUUUUUAUUAAUAUUGGGCAUUUGGGCUUGUAGUUUUUGGGUUUAAAUUGGCUGAAAAUGGGUUGCUUUUGUUUUUAUUAUUUGGGUCUAUUUUGCUGGUAUGGGCCCGGGUAUUUUAUUUUCUGAUUUAGGCCAUAUUGGCCUGCUUUAAUGGACUGUGGCAUUUUAUUUAUUUUGUUUUAUUUUUGGCACUUGGCCCGGCAAAUUUGGGCUUCUACAGUUGCCCCUCUUUGCUCGUUUUCGUGUAACGAGAACAGAGCAAAGACCAAGAAAGACCAAAUUUGCCUGGUCUCGCCGAGGCUUGACUUUUUGGUGCUCAUCUUCUUCAAGUAGCCUUAUUCUGUUCUGCUGUGUCUCGUUGCUUCAAUCCACUUCACUGCGCUCCGGAGAAACAUGACUUAAAUCUAUUCUGCUGCAACUCCAUGGGGAUGAGAUUUGUUGUUUUCUUCGUCUGCUCCACUACUGCUUAGGGAGAUAAGACUGAAUAUGAUCUGCUCCGCUACCACUUAGGGAGAUAAGACUGUAAUCUCCGAUCUAUUCCACUGUCAAAUGCAGGGAGAUAGAGUUAUCAGCUUCAAUCUACUCCACUGUAGUCACAGGGAGGUAAAAUCUGCCAUCUUUGAUCUUCAAUCUAUUCCACUGCCAAAUACAGGGAGAUAGAGUUAUCGGCUUCAAUGUACUCCACUGUAGUCAAGGAGGUAAAAUCUGUCAUCUUCGAUCUGCUUCGCUGUCAACUACAGGAAGGCAAGAUCUACAAUCUUCGAUCUACUUCACGCCAAUACAUGAAGACAAGAUCUGCUUUCUGCGAUCUACUUCGCCACCAAUAUGGGAAGACAAGAUCUGCAUCUUCGAUCCACUUCCUACCAAUAUAGGAAGAUAGGAUCUGCUACCUUCGAUCUACUUCACGCCAAUACAUGAAGACAAGAUCUGCUUUCUGCGAUCUACUUCGCCACCAAUAUGGGAAGACAAGAUCUGCAUCUUCGAUCCACUUCCUACCAAUAUAGGAAGAUAGGAUCUGUUAUCUUUGAUCUACUUCACGCCAAUACAUGAAGACAAGAUCUACUUUCUGCGAUCUAUUUUGCCACCAAUAUGGGAAGACAAGAUCUGCAUCGUCGAUCCACUCCCUACCAAUAUAGGAAGACAAGACCUACUAUCUUUGAUCUACUUCACGCCAAUACAUGAAGACAAGAUCUGCUUUCUGCGAUCUACUUCGCCACCAAUAUGGGAAGACAAGAUCUGCAUCGUCGAUCCACUUCCUACCAAUAUAGGAAGACAAGACCUACUAUCUUUGAUCUACUUCACGCCAAUACAUGAAGACAAGAUCUACUUUCUGUGAUCUACUUCGCCACCAAUAUGGGAAGACAAGAUCUGCAUCUUUGAUCUACUUCCUACCAAUAUAGGAAGAUAGGAUAUGUUCCUUUGACCUAUAAAAUCAAUUUUAUGGACCUAUUUACGUCUAGUGUUUAGGAUGACAUGAUCAGAGUGGAUCAAAUGCUCCUAACUAGAUGUGUAUGAAUGAUAUUUGUAGAAUGUCAUGAGAAUGAUCCAUUUUUGAUGCUUAGGUUGUCAUUCCUCAUUGUUCAUCAAGGUUCCAUCACUGAUGCCUUCUUGUUCAGCCAGUACCUUUGACAGAAAACCUAAAGAAAUAGACGCUAUUUAGACUAUCAUUUCUCAAAUGUUUCCAACCCUUAGGUUUGGUUAGUUCUAAACAAUAGUCCUGUUUCAAGUCCUCGUAUUAUUUAGAAACUUUCAGAGUAAUAUGCAGAACUCCUUCUGCAUGUGUAUUGUCAGUCCAUUAAUCGUUAUUUCAAUGAAAAAUGCUUGAGAAAGAUUAUCAAAAUGGACAAAAUGAAAUUUUGUUGAGAGCAAAUCUCUAAACAAACAAAUCAAGAUAGCAAAUUUUGCUGAGAUAUGAGAUGAAUAAGAUGAAAAAGAUUAUCACAAUGAAUAAGAUGGAACUUUAUUGAGAGCAGAGCUCUAAAUGAACAAAUAGCAAAUUUUGCUAAGAUGUAAAUAAGAUAAAAAAAAGGUGCCCCAGAUAUCGUAGCAUGAGCUUCUCUGCCCCAAACUUCUUAAGGACCCUUUUGAACUUGAUAUGUGUUUAGAAGUCCUAGAAGGCUUUGUUGAUGCCCCAAGAUGUAGCAUCUUUCCUUCUUGUUAAUUCGAAGAAGACAAAACUACUUUAUGCUUCAUCUUUGAUCGAAAAUUUGAAUUGCCCAUUCCUGGGUUUUCAAUUCAAAACCCCUUUGGUUUCAAGGUGCCCUUUGCGGGUUUUCGCCUUGGCCUCUCCUUUUUUUUUUUUUUAGGCAAAGUACCUCUUCACUGAAUCCGAAUUCACAGGAUUGGGCAAGCUUUUGCCAUCCAUCCCAGUUAGAAUUAAUGCCCCUCCUGAAAAGGCCUUUUUUACUACAUAAGGUCCCUCCCAGUUUGGCAUCCACUUUCCUCUGAAGUCUUUUUGCAUGGGAAGGAUCUUCUUCAGUACCAAGUCCCAUUCAUGGAAGUUUCUAGGACGAACUUUCUUAUUGUAAGCUCGCAUCAUUCGUUUCUGGUACAUUUGACCAUGACGGAUAGCUCUUAACCUCCUUUCUUCAAUCAAGUUCAGCUGAUCAUAUCGAGAUUGGACCCAUUCUGCUUCGUCUAACUUUAGUUCUGAAAAAACUCGGAGGGAGGGAAUUUCAACCUCAAUUGGUAGCACUGCCUCCAUUCCAUAAACCAAAGAGAAUGGUGUUGCCCCGGUAGAAGUCCUGACGGACGUUCGAUAAGCAUAGAGGGCGAAUGGCAACUUCUCGUGCCAAUCUCUAUAGGUCUCAGUCAUUUUCCCCACAAUCCUUUUGAUAUUUUUAUUGGCUGCCUCCACCGCACCAUUCAUUUUUGGACGGUAUGGCGAUGAGUUGUGGUGCUUGAUAUUGAAUUGACUACAAACCUCUGCUAUCGUGCUAUUAUUCAAAUUUAAUGCGUUGUCAGAUAUAAUCCUUUCGGGCAUUCCAUACCGACAUAUGAUUUCCUUCUUUAAAAACUUGCUGACAGCUGCCUUUGUGAAAUUGGCGUAAGAAGUAGCCUCUACCCACUUAGUAAAGUAGUCAAUCACUACAAAAAUGAAACGAUGUCCGUUUGAAGCCUUUGGCGAUAUCGGCCCAAUGACGUCCAUGCCCCACAUGGAGAAAGGCCAUGUGGAAGUCAUGACGUGAAGAGGUGAUGGAGGCACAUGGAUUUUGUCUCCGUAAAUCUGGCAUUUAUGACACUUCUUAGCAUAUUUGAUGCAGUCUCCUUCCAUGGUAGACCAAUAAUAUCCAAAUCUCAUGAUUUGUCUGGCCAUUGUGAAACCGUUAGCGUGUGUUCCACAAAUACCAUCAUGGACUUCUUCCAAGAUCUGUUUGGCCUCCACAGCGUCCACACAUCUUAACAGCACCUGAUCUUUUCCUCUUUUAUACAGGAUCUCUCCAUCUAAGACGUAAUCACUGGCCAGCCUCCUCAACAUUCUCUUGUCAUUCUCAGUUGCUUGGUUUGGGUAUUCACGAUUUUUUACGUAUCGCAAUAUAUCCUGAUACCAAGGGUUGUCGUCCUUUUCUUCUUCUUCGUCAAUGUUACAACAGUGGGCUGGAGCAUCAUAAAUGCUCAUUUGGAUAGGCUUCACAUCCUCUGGUCUAUUUACUUUGAUUAUGGAAGCCAAUGUAGCUAAAGCGUCGGCCAUCUGAUUCUCGUCUCGUGGGAGAUAACAAAAAGUGAUGUCGUCAAACUCCUCAAUCAAUUCUAGGACUAUCCUUCGGUAACUAAUCAACUUAGGGUCUCUUGUUUCCCAUUCGCCUUUGAGUUGAUAAAUUACCAAUGCCGAAUCCCCAUAUACCUCAAGUACCUUGAUUUUGCGUUCCAUAGCCGCGCGGAUUCCCAUGAUACAUGCUUCAUAUUCCGCCAUGUUAUUUGUGCAAUCAAAAUCUAGUUUACUGGUGAAAGGAUAAUGAUCACCGUUUGGAGAUACCAAGACUGCCCCAAUCCCGUUGCCCAUGGCAUUUGAGGCUCCGUCAAAAUUUAAUUUCCAAGUAUUGCCUUCUUGUGUGCUUGCUUCAAUAGUUGCCACAUACAUCAGAUCCUCAUUUGGGAAAUCAAAGUUCAAAGGCUCAUAAUCGUCCAGGGCUCUACUUGCUAGAAAAUCUGCUAUCGCGCUCCCUUUUACAGCCUUUUGAUUCACAUAGGUUAUGUCAAAUUCAGAUAGUAGAAUUUGCCAUCGGGCCAUCUUUCCGUUUAGAGCAGUUGACUCCAUCAUGUAUUUCAGAGGAUCUAACUUUGAGAUUAACCAAGUCGUAUGGUACAACAUGUAUUGUCUCAAUCUCCGAGUAGUCCAAACCAAUGCGCAACAUAAUUUUUCAAUUGGCGAAUAUCUAGCUUCGCAUUCAGUGAACUUCUUACUAAGAUAAUAGAUCGCUCUUUCUUUUCGUCCUGACUCAUCAUGUUGGCCGAGCACGCACCCCAUGGAAUUCUCAAAUACUGCCAAGUAUAGUAUCAGUGGUUUGUCAGGGCAAGGUGGCAUCAGUACUGGGGCGUUGGACAAGUAAUGUUUAACUCUUUCGAAAGUUUUCUGGCACUCCUCAUCCCAUACACCUGGAUUGUGUUUCCUAAGAAGACGGAAUAUGGGGUCACAUUUCUCAGUUAAUUGUGAAAUGAAUCGAGCGAUGUAAUUUAGUCUUCCUAGGAAACCCCGAACUUCUUUUUGAGUACUUGGCGGAGGUAAUUCUUGUAUGGCCUUAACUUUGUCUGGGUCAAUUUCAAUUCCCUUUUCGCUGACUAAGAAUCCUAGCAAUUUUCCUGAUCUAGCCCCGAAAGUACACUUGGCUGGGUUAAGUUUUAGCUGGAACUUCCUUAACCUCAGAAACAGUUUUCUCAGAACUUGCACGUGUUCCCUUUCUGUUCUGGAUUUUGCGAUCAUGUCAUCAACAUAAACUUCUAUCUCUUUAUGCAUCAUAUCAUGGAAUAAUGCUACCAUGGCUCUCUGAUACGUUGCUCCCGCAUUUUUCAAUCCAAAAGGCAUCACUUUAUAACAAAACGUCCCCCACAUCGUUAUGAAUGUGGUCUUCUCCCUGUCUUCAGAAAGCAUCUUAAUUUGGUUGUACCCGGAGAAACCAUCCAUGAAAGAGAACAGUGAGUAUCCGGCCAUGUUGUCUACCAAGGUAUCGAUAUGAGGCAGUGGGAAAUUAUCUUUUGGGCUGGCUUUGUUCAAGUCUCUGUAGUCCACACACAUUCGCACCUUCCCAUCUUUCUUAGGAACAGGGACUAUAUUGGCUACCCAUUCUGAGUACUUGACCACCUGUAAGAAACCAGCAUCAAAUUGCUUCUUAACUUCUUCCUUUAUUUUUAGCAAGACGUCAGGCCUCAUCCUUCGGAGCUUUUGUUGGACUGGUUUGCAUUCUUCCUUUAUAGGCAAUCGGUGUACCACGAUAUCAGUACUUAACCCUGGCAUAUCUUGGUAGGACCACGCGAAGACAUCUUUAAACUCUCGAAGCAACUCAACAAGGUCUUGCCUUGUUUCCUUGGCAAUGCAAGCGCCAAUUUUUACCUCUCUGCCCUCUUCUAAGAUCACAACUUCUACUGAUUCCUUAUAGGGUAGAAUUUGUUUUUCUUUUUCUUCCAUCAUUCUUAACAAAUCCGGAGAUAAAACGCUGUCUUGGCCACCUUCAAAAUCUUGAGGAUCAUCUAUACUUAUGUCUUGCUCAAAUAGAGACUCUGAAUUAGUAACAGAGUCGCUCAUCUCGUUGAUAUCUGAAGACCUGUUAUUGGAACAAAUGGAGGCCCAAAUAAAAGAAUCUAAGAAUACUUGUAUGCAUAGUAUGAUUAUAAAGGGAAUGAAAAGAAUGAAAGAAUAUUUGCUCAAGAUGAAACUGAAUGAUAAGUUUUCACUGAAAUUAGAUUUUGGACAUGUGCCUUUUACAAAAGAUUCUUAUCACCCCCAGGCUUAGGGCAACAAGUGUUCUGAAUAUUACUCUGAAUUAGUUCUAAAUGUUACAGGGAUCUCUUCUGCAGUCCAGUUAUUCAGAACACUUCCAGGUUCGUAAGGACGAAUGCCCGAUAAAUUCCUUUCCACCCUUUCUUCCGCGGAUAUGGCAUUGAUGUCCAACAUCUCAAUCCUUCCUUCUGUAACCUCAUCAUUCUCUUCAGGGUGGACAAUUCCCCCUGAAACAAAAGUCUUAGAUAUAUGGGGAAAGGUCAUCGGUCCCCACUUGACUUCUAUCCCGCCCAAAUGUGCUCUUCUCUUUUCUUGCUUUUUCUCCAUCUCUUUCCUCCUUUCCCUCGCAUUAGGCUUAUAUCCCAAACCAUAACGAUCCUGCUUGUUAACUAGGAUCGGUACUCCAACCCUCCCCUGGAGGUAUUUUCCCAAUCCUCUUCCAGGCAAUGCUCCCUUUCCCAUCGUUAGCUGUAAGCUCAUUGACGUAGCUUUGGAUAUCUUAGGUUCUGGGAUUUUGCUCAUCUCGAUGACAAAUGUGGCAUUUACGAAUUCCAAUGAUCGGAAUGAACAUUCUAUCGCUUCACUAUCAGCCUCUAUGUAUGGCAUAUCAUCGGUGACUGAUGCAAUGAUGUCUUCUUCUGCACCUAUAGUCACCAAUCGACCCUCUAUCACCAAUUUUAACUUUUGGUGAAGUGACGAUGGUACAGCUCCUGCAGAAUGGAUCCAAGGCCUCCCCAAUAGGCAAUUGUAAGAUGGUUUAAUAUCCAUUACCAAAAAGUCCACCUCGUAUGUAUUUGGACCAAUCAAUAGAGGUAUCUCGAUUCUCCCCAUCACUUUUCUCUCAGUGCCAUCAAAUGCUCUCACUAUAUUUUGGCAUGAUUUCAUGUGAGAACUAUCCACGGGUAGCCUGUUUAAUGUGGACAGGGGUAAAAUAUUCAGGGCCGAUCCAUUGUCCACGAGUACCGCCGGUAGUAUACACCCCUUGCAACGGGCAGUGAUGUGCAAGGCCUUGGUAGAUCCCAUACCACCUGGCGGGAUCUCAUCAUCGUUGAAGAAGAUGAAGUUAUCGGCAUUUAUAUUGUUAACCAGGCGAUCCAAUUUGUUCACUGAGAUAUCUUUAGCGACAUAAGUCUCAUUUAGCACUUUUACCAACGCAUUACGAUGUAUCUCUGAACUUAGAAGUAACUCGAGCACUGAGAUGCGAGCGGGUUGCUUAUGCAAUUGUUCCACCACGCUAUACUCGCUAUGCCUCAAGAAUUUUAGGAAUUCUCUAGCCUCAUUUUCAGUCACCGGUGUGUUAAUAUGCGGUUCAAUUCCGAUCGUCUUCGUUUUAUCUUGUUCAACCGCCAAGGCUUUUCCUUUUAUAGGCUCCCUUUUUGUAUUUCCCAGGUCGUAACAUUUUCCACUACGCGUAUAGAAGCCUGCGCCAUUACCCCAUUCUGAAGCAUUUAUCGGGUUCUCCUCUCCCGUAAUCAUCACAUUGCAAUCGUAAUUCCAAGGAACCUUUUUGCUAUCCUUGUAAGGAAAGGCUACAGGUUUUUGGAUUAUGACCCUUGGCGCCAGUUGUAUUCCAGAUCCUGUACUCGUUGGCCUUGAAAUAAUCACCACUGGGUGAUUUGAGGCCUUUCCCGUAGGCCCCUCCUCCGAGGCAUAAACUUCUCCAUUUUCAAGUCCUUUGAUCUCUUCAUAAAAUUCUAGCUCUUUGUUGUUCAUCAGAUUUUGCACCAUGGCCUUGAAUUCAGUGCAGUUUUGAAUGUCAUGGUCUUCUUCAACAUGAAACUCGCAGUACGUCUUCGUUCCUUCGGGCCUUUCUUUUGAAUCUUGUUUGAUGAGACCUCCUUCUAUCAUUUGUCUCCAGACCCAACUCAAUGGGGUUUUUAUCUCUGCAAUGUCAGUUUUGAUUCUCUUUUUCUCACCUUCGAUUAUUGUGUUUACCCCUUUAUCAGCAUGGUUGGGUAACGGAUUCGCUGCUACGUUGGGUCCUAAUGGGUUGUCAAACUUCACAAUCCCCAUCUUAAUGAACCUUUCCACCGCCUUUUUAAACCCAGUGCAGUUCUCAAUUGAGUGUCCUGGUAUCCCUGCAUGGUAUUCACAUUGGGCAUUCGUGUCAUACCAUUUGGGAUAUGGAGGUUGCAUGGGCUCGAGAUAAAAUGGAGAUACUAUGUGUGCAUCAAAUAACUUCUGAUACAGUUCUCCGUAUGUUAUUAGAAUGGGUGUGAAUUGAAGUCUCUCUGUGUUAGUCCUUGUGUUGGGCCUUGUGUUGGGUUCCUGCCUCGAGGGGGCUUGGUGACUAGUGGUUAUCAUUUUUGGAGGGCCAACAGUAAUCGGUUUUGAAUGACUCUUGCUAUAUGUGCUUACGUUGUUUACUUCGCCCUCUUUUUUCCUUGGGGCUGGUCUUUUGAAGUUUUCCCCCGUGUCAAUCUUACCGCUCCUUACCGCGUUCUCAAUCAUUUCACCGGACAUUACCAUAUCCGAGAAGCUCUUGGUAGCACUCCCCAACAUGUGGUUGAUGAACGAGGCUUUCAGAGUGUUGAUAAACAACAUGGUGACCUCUUUUUUCCAAAAGGGGUGGCUGGACUUGUGUUGCCACUUCUCUCCAUCGUUGGGCGUACUGCCUGAAAUUCUCGCUAGGCUUUUUCUCCAUGUUUUGUAACGUAAUUCGAUCGGGUGUUAUAUCCGUUACAUGACUGUACUGCUUCAUAAAAGCUUGCGCCAAGUCUCUCCAUGAACUAACUUUAGCACGACUCAGUUGGUUGUACCAUUUGGCUGCAGAUCCGAUCAAACUGUCCUGGAAGCAGUGGAUUAACAGCUGAUCGUUGUUGACGUAUCCUGUCAUUCUUCGACAGAACAUAGUUAUAUGAGCUUCAGGACAACUAGUUCCAUUAUAUUUUUCGAAUUCCGACAUUUUGAACUUAGGUGGGAGUACUAAAUCAGGGACCAAACUCAGAUCCUUGGCGUCAACCCCGCGAUGAUAGUCAAUGUUCUCCAUGACUCUAAAUUUUUCCUCUAACCAUCUACAUCGGUCCUCUAGUUGUUUUGGCAGGUUCGUUCUUGUUUUUUCUGUUUCUGCCACGUCAUCGAGGUUCGGGACCACAGGAUUAGUGGGAUUAUCCCCGGGAUUAGAACCCGAGCCCAUUUGAAAAUACAAUGGUACCGAGGCACCAGCCAGAUAUUGAGGUCUAAUGGUAACCGGUACCCUCUGUGGGUACACCUCUGGUUGUGCUUGGAUGUUAGUUGGGGUGAAACCUGGAGGAUAAACAGGGUCAUCGUGAUCUUCCCCAGCAUCAACUACGGGGUCUUUUCCUUUGUUAUUUCCUCCAGCCAAUAACUGCUUUAAUCGGUUCAUCACAGUGUUCUGGGAUUCUAACAUGUCCUGCUGGAUUUUUUCCAGUCGUUCAUGCAUCUGAUCUUGCAUCUCUCGUUGCAACUGUUCCAAUCUUUCCAACCUUUGAUCCAUUGCUUUUGUUUGGCGACGAGUACCGUAGUGAUAUUUGAUUAGAUUUUGGUUGGUUUCCAGGGUAACUGUCAUAAUUUAAUUUUAUUAGGGUCAUUUUAUGAGAUGUAAUGCAAAUGUAUGAGAUGAAUGCAAAAAAGAGGCAUUGAUUCGAAUUCAAUUUCAUUAGAAAACUCAACUAGAAAGCAAAUUUCUUUACAUAAAAUAAAUUACAUAUACGGCUUCGCCUUUAUACCCAAAACCUUAACCUUCCUAAGAAGCCAAGCUAAAUUUCGACCUCGGCUUGAUUCUGACUCAUAUUUUAAACUCAAUACAUCGGCCUGAACUGCUAAUGUUUGCAGAUGAUCAGCCACUUCCCGCACUUGAGUCACAGCUUCGCCCAUAACGUAAUCUCUAUCUCUAAUCUGCCUUUGAGAAUGAUGGAAUUGCUCUUGCCAUUGAUCAUUACUCCUCUCAAGAAGCUCCAUUCGUAGCUCAGAAUUGUGUAAUGCGUCCUCAAGCUCCUCUACCUUUCCUUUCAGUUCUUCGAUCUUAUUUAAGCUUGCUCUUAAUUCGAUCAUGGAGUUGCGACUACGGUACGAGUGAAGUGACUUUUCUAGCUCUGCCACCUUGGCCUUUAAUCCUGCCUUCUCAUUUCGGCACUCUAACAAACUCCUUUCCAAAGCGUUUUCUCGAGCUCGAGCAUCUUGAAAUUUAUUUUCCCACUGAUUGGCCCUAUUCUUUUCCUCAUUGAUCUCUUGUCGCCACUGCUCUGAUGUUUUACCCAGACCGACAGUUCUCAUCGACAAUCGCAGCUUCUUGUAAUCUGUUUUUAGACUAUCCAAAUCCUCUUCAGCUUUGUUCUUUCCCUUCCUUAAUUUCUCAGCUUCUAGCUUGUGGAUAUCGAUGUCUAAUCCCAAAUGCACUCUUUCUUCUUCUAACUGUUCUAUCCUCUUUCCCAACUCAGAAUUUCUUUUCUCAAAGUCUCGUUUGAUGAUCUCUAAUUCUGACGGAACUACUUGUAGAUGCUCUUCUAUAGACUGAACGCAAUCUUCCCUCGGCUUAGGGAUGUUGUCAUUGACUCUUUUACUCCACCACCCAUAAUAUUCUGAAGUUGCCAUCGCUCCUACGGUAAAUCUUUUCAUUCGGUGAACCUGUUUCCAAGCGUUAGAUAUUUCUCGAGUUUUUCUCUUGUAGUUUUCAUCCUUAUAAGAAAACUCACAUUGAGCCAACCCUUGUGUUGCUGGUAUGAACUGUCUCGAUCUAUAUUGUCUUAAUACGAGUAAAGGGGCAUAACCGAUAGCUCCCCAAAUUCCGAGUAAAGGGACCCAGUCGAAAUCACCACAUCGAUACAGGAUCUCGUCGGGUACCAUCCAAGGAGCUUUCCAUUCAACGUCAUCCUCCUGAAAAUUUUGGAGAAUCGCCAUCCACUUCUCUUCCGUGAUGUCGUCUCGUCUUGGUGUAGCAACUUGUUCCUUCAAUGGAGAAUAGUCUUCUGAGAAGACUCGAUAGGAGACAUUUUCCACCUUCCAAAAGUGACUAUGGAACCACACCAAUAGUAGCUGCGCGCAUCCGAUGAACCUUCCCCCCCUGCUCUUCGACAUGCACUUAGAGAUCUGAAGGUUUCUGCUAAGAUUGCCGGGAUGGGCGUGACUCCUUUACUAAGCCGAUCGAACAAAUCAGAGACGGCCUCAUCUACGUGCCCUAAAGCUCUAGGGAAAAUUACCAAUCCAUAGAUACCUAGAGCGAAGACAUCCACUCUUUUCUUCACAUCAGGGUGUGCUAAUACUAAAUCUCGCAAGCUUUUCCAAGGAACGCAUUUACUGUCUCCUUUCUGUUGGAUUCGGGCAGUGACCCACUGUUCGCUCAUCCCUGUAAUGCUCAUCAAUUUUUUUAAUAAUGUCGGGACACUAGCAGCUCUAGAAUAGGCUUUGUCAAUUUGAAUCUUUGGACACCGAAGCAGGGUCGUAUAUUCUUCCAUGGUGGGAACCAAGUCCACUUUUCCAAAAGUGAAACAACUGUAAGCAGGAUUCCAAAACUGGGCUAGGGCUCGGAAUAAAUGCUUGUCCACUUUGAUACCAAGUAGGUAAGGCAAGUCCCCGUAGUCACAGUAAAACAUCUGCUUGGUCCCGUCGUCCCAUUGAUCCCAUAUUUCCUUCAUUUCUCGAAGAUCAUUUUGGAUUACGCUGAUACGGGUGAAGUCCCAUAACUCUGAUACGUACCCUUCUGCAAGACUAUCGCCUUUCUCUCUCCACAUCGUCUCAGCCCAUAAUCGUACGGCUGCAUUGUCUUCUACUUUAUCAAGAAACCUCUUUUCCAUUAUAAGCUUUCUAUCUAUACUGAACGUGAAUCGACACCUCUUUUGAAAUGAAAAUGCCAUGCAAUCACAAACAAAGCAAAUUAGAUCUAGGAUUUAAAGUAAACAAUAAUAAAUAAAGCAUCUAUUCGGUAAGCACUAGGGUCUGGAAUAGCUCUAUCUCGGUGGGUUCUUAUGGCUCGCUAUGUGUGGUUUGGUUCUAAAGUAAGGGUACCUGAACCAGCAGAUUCCUCGAUCCUCACCCAUUAUAGGCUCAUAUGGACCGAGUUCAGUUCAGGGGAAUACAUUUCCCUAUGGCCAUGCGGAGAUGAAAAUCUCACGAAGACAUAGGUACGGAUGUAUCCCGGAAGCGAUUCACUAUCCCAUGCGGAGGUGAAAACCUCACGAAGGCGUAGUUUCUCACUCCCACUUAAAAGGUGUGACCAGCGGUCAUGCAAUGCAAUGUGCAGAGGUAUAAAAUAAAAUACAGAACACGAUAAAAAAAUAUAACUCAAAACAAAAGAGAUGCAAUGAGAGGAUCGUAAAUUUAAAUCGAAUUUUCCAUUUUCAGCAAAAAGACAAUAAAUAAUCAACACGUGGCUUGACUCUCUUAUUGUCCCCAGUGGAGUCGCCAAGCUGUUGACACCAUUUUUUGGAUGAAAACGGGGUCGACUUGGAUUUUGAAAAAAAGAAUAAAAACGGGAGUCGCCACCAAUCUUUUUUGAUGAGGUGUGAUCGGGUCACCUUUAAAAGCAGCUGUUUUUAAUAAACAAUUUAAUUUUAUUAAAACAAUGAGUUUGGUCUACGAAAUUUAGAAAAAUGAGUUCGGGAGUCGGUUACGCACGAGGAAGGAUUAGCACCCUCGAUACGCCCAAAAUUGGUACCUAGUUGAUUACUUAAUGUCUUGAUGUCGAAAAUAAAAACUCGAAAAGAAUUUUAAAAUACGAUCCUUAAAAGAAACUCUGAUAACGUGAAUUGAAAUAUAAGAUUCUCUUGUUCUUAAGGAAUAUCACAUCCAGCACGUUAGGACCCGAUACUCUAAACCAUCGAACCAAGAUUACCUUAUAGUUUAAUGAAACCAUACUUUGAAGCUUUAAGAGGAUAUUUGGCUAUUUAGUCAAACGAGAAAUCGAAACCCAGCACGUUAGGGCACGUUUUCUCGAGUUUCCAAACGCGAAAUAUUGCCUUAUUUAGAAACUUUUGCUUUGGAAUAAUAGCGAAUCCGAUAUUUAAACAACGUUGAUUAUUUGUUUGGAUUUAAAAAAACAAUUUAUUGGAUAAAUGCACCGAGGCUUGAUUCGUGAGGCGAUGAUAUGAAAAAAGAUAACAAUGAGCAUGAAACAAAUAUACAUGGAUUUAUCAAGUAAACAAAUUAAAAUAAACAUCACGACAAUACAUCAUUUAAAUAAUAACAUCGACAAAUAACCAAUGAAUUUAAUCAUAUAUAACAAUCUUUAAAAAUAAGGAAGAUAUAAAGUAAAUUAAAACAAAUAAAAAUGUAAACAAACUUUAGAAUGAUAAUAAAUGAAUUUAAAAUAAAUAAUGUAGAAAAGAAUUUUAAAAUCCGUAAUACACGAGGCAAAUUAAAAAGAUGAUAUAUAUGAAUAAUUUCUGUCCUUCAAAAAAAUAUAUAUAUAUAUGCAAAAGUGUAAAAAAAAACGUAUGCAAACAAACCUAAAAUAAAUAAUAAUAGAAUCAUUUAAAUAAAUAAAAAGGAUUUAAAAUGGAUGAUAAAUAACAGGACUUAAGGUAGUUACGGUAAAAAUAAUUUCAAAUGAAUGAUGUAUAAAAGAAAAAAGAAUAUAUAUAUACAUAUAUACAUAUUUAUAUAUAAAUAAAUGGCUUAAAAUAGGUAUUACAAAAAAAUAAAAGAAAAUUUAAAAUGAAUAACCUACAGAAUAGCUUGAAUUAAAAGUUAUAUAUGAAUAUAAAAUAUGUAAUAGUUUAAUAUAAAUAAUUUAUAUAAAAACAUAUAAAGUAAACAACGUAUAGAAAGUUAACAAACAACACAUGAAAGCAUUAAAAUAGAAAUGAGACAAGUUCCUUAAAAAAGGGCUAAGUUUAAGGUAAAACGAAUUUGUAAAGCAAUCUUAAAUGCAUAAUACAUAAGUCAGCUUAAAGAAUUAAUAAAAAUCUAAAAUAAAUAACAUGUGAAACUGUUUAAGAUAAAUGAAUAAAUAAAAGUAUAUGUAUAUGAAAAAUCAAUAAAAUAUAAAAAGAUUAAGUAUCGAAUUAGAAAAGAUUAAAAUCAAGGGUCCUAUCUAAAAAAAAUAAAAAGGGACGCAGGGCCUAAAAUAAGGCACACGUGAAAGAACAGGGGUUAAACAUGCAAUUAUUCCCCAACUCUGAAGAUGUAUGUCGAAUUUCGAAGCACCAGAGAACCGAGGGCUUAAUCAAAAAAACAAAAGAAAAUUAAACAGUUAAAUCUAUGAAAAGAUAAAAUAAUAAAAGGGGCCCGAGGUAAACAAGCCCAAAAUUGAAGGGACCAUGGGAGCGAAUAGCCCAUAGGAUCAAAACACACAGGUUCCCCCUAGACUGCGCCGUUUUGGGGCGUGGGGGUGUGUGUGUGAGGGUACAAAACGGCAGUGUUUUGCAUGGCCAUUAAAGCCCCAAAUUUUUUUCAUUUUUAACUUCAUUUUCUUUCAAAAAAAAAGACAGAGAGUCUUCCUACUCUCUCUCUCCCUUUUCUAUUUUUCCUCCCUUGCAGAUAGGGUUUCGAGACCCAUCCUCGCUGCCAUCGUCUGACCGCCGCACCACCACCAUACUCGGUGGCCGGCAAUGCACAAGAAUAGGCCAUUCGGCCUUGUUCCAAAAGAGUUUGAAGGCCUAGCCUUCUUGAGUCGAAAAGAACCGAAAGAAAGGGCCCUCACCCCUCUUUUAGCCCCGACGAUGGAGGAGAGACCUCCCGCGAAGCAACCACAGGCGGUUCCGGUAAGGUUCUUCUCUUCCUUUUCUUUUUAUUUUAUGGCUACUCUUAUUUAAUAGAUUCGUGUUAAAAUAAAAAGGAAAUAUUAGAGAGAUGAAAAACGAAAUGGAAAUAAAGAAAGUAGAAUAAGAGAUCAACCUUUUGUGUUUUUUUCUUUUUAUUUCCAAUGUUCGUUUGAUACGAUUUUUAUAUAUUCAAAGGUUCCCCCUUCCGUUCAGUCCUUCAUUUCGGGUUUUAUAACCCCUUUUUACAUCCUUUUUCUAUUAUUCUAUCCUGUUUUUUUUGUCUUGAUCUUGCAGGGCAUGGAGGUGCUGGUAGUGGAGGAGGAGCAUGCAGCGGCAGAUGGUGUCAGACGCGUGGACACGCGAAGCCAGCGAUUGGCGAGUAGCGGCGGUGGGCGUGCGCAGGAGGUGGCAGCAACAACAUGCGGCUGAGGUUUCUUUUUGUGUUUGAAAGUUGGUGUAGUUUUGGGCCAUUCGGGCCUCUAGGGUUUUUAUUAAUAUUGGGCAUUUGGGCUUGUAGUUUUUGGGUUUAAAUUGGCUGAAAAUGGGUUGCUUUUGUUUUUAUUAUUUGGGUCUAUUUUGCUGGUAUGGGCCCGGGUAUUUUAUUUUCUGAUUUAGGCCAUAUUGGCCUGCUUUAAUGGACUGUGGCAUUUUAUUUAUUUUGUUUUAUUUUUGGCACUUGGCCCGGCAAAUUUGGGCUUCUACAGGUUUUUUUAAUUUAAUUUUGUUUUAUUUAGUUUUUCAAAUAAUAUUAUAUUACCUAUCUGAACUCGAUGAUUUAAAACAAAUGUAUUUUACGUGUUAUUCUUUAAUUUUUAAAUAUAAGGCAGUGGUGUAUCAAAUAUUUGCCAAUGUGAUGAAUUCCUCAAAUUUUGAGUUUUCAACAAAUUUGCUUACUCUGAAAAUGUAAUGAAUUGAAAAAAAUAGGCAGCAGUAAACAAAUGUAUAUAAAAUAAUUCCAUAAUUUGUCCAACAAACAUAAAUAAGCCACUUUCAAAACAUAAGCAAUCAUUUAGGAGUUAAAUCAUAAAACAAAAUAUAAAGAGGGGUAAUUUUAUAAAUAUUUUGGACCGGGUUUACCUUAAACCCAACCCAAACUGAAACUAAUUUUUAGAAGAAACUUGUUGAUUUCGGGUUUUUCUUGUUCAUCCCUAAAUAAAACACGUAUUGAUAAUUUAAGUAUUAUAUUAGACUUUUUCAAAGUACAGACACCAUAUUAAACAUUUUAUGAAAGUGCAUGUAUCAUAAUAAAACACAUAUUGGUAGUUUAGGUACCAUAUUGAACAUUUUCAAAAUACACAUGCCGCAAUAAACAUUUUGUGAAAGUGAAGUUACUAAAUUUGACAUUAUCCCUUAGAAGAGUCGGAUUAGAACAGAAUACUUUUUUCUUUUCUUUUCUGCUUUGUUAGAACAUAAUACAUAUUAUAAUUAAAUAUGAUGUUAAACUAUUAUACUAAUGUAUAUAAUACAAAAUGUUUAAUGCGUCUUUUUAUUUUUAUUUAAAAUUUUGAUGUAAUAUCUAUAUUUACCUUAAAAUCAUUCAGUAGGUGGUAAUGCUGUUAUUGUAACAAUAAAUAAAAUAUAAAUUCAAAGGUGUUUAAUUUUUUUAUUUAAAAAUUUGGAAAUUAUAUUAAAAGAAAGUAUGGUAUGAACAAAAUCAUUUAAUUGCUAUUUAUUUUGUAAGGUUGUGGGAUUAAAUUUAGGGAGACAAUUGAUCUAGACAUGAAAAAUUUUAAAAAUAAAUUAUCAAAAUUUAAAUUGAAUUAAUUUGAUUGGCUAUUGUGCUGGGAAGACUUUGACCUAAUUGGAGGAUCAUUUUUCAUUCACAAAAAUGGAUUACAGAAAAGUCGGUCUUAAUUAAUUAAUGGCUAAUGAUAAAUUUGAUCACUAAUAUUGGCAUAUUUUGUCAAAAUGGCCCUAAUUAUAUUUUUGAGACUUUUUUUGUCAUCAACCUUUGAUUUUUUUUCAAACUAUUUUUUCUAACAGAUUUAAUGAAUAAAUUCAAUGUUUCAAUCUUUCUUUCUUUUUCAAAAGGUUUCAAUAUUUCAUACUGUUUGUUUAUUGAGAAAUUUUUCUAUUGAGUUAAUUUUUUUUAGAUAAUUACGUUUAUUUUAUUUAAAUUAAGAGUUUUUUUUUAAAUUUCAUGUAUUGUUUAUUUAUUUUAUUAUUUUCCAUAUGUAAUUAUCUUCUAUGAUUAUUUAAGUAAUAAAUUAGAUAUUAUUAAAAAUAUUCCACAUAUGAAAUUCCACAUCAUCCCCUUUUUAACCUUUUUUAAUGAUACUUUUCAUCAAAUCUGUUAAAAAAACAACUUGAAAAAAGGAACAAAAAUUGAUGGCCAAAAAAAUUUAAAAAAUACAUUUAAGAUCAUUUUGACAAAAUAUAUAAAUGUUGGUGGCCAAAUUUGUCAGUAAACAUUAACCGGAGAUUAGAUUGUUACAAAAAAAAAUUCGCAUGUUUUUAUUAAUUAAUUAAUACAUUAAAAUUAAAAUAGGAAGUUGAACUUAAAAUUUAACCAAACACAGUUAAGUAGUUUGAUUCAUUUCGAAUUAAAGAAUUCAGAAUGUCAGAAUGAAAGGGUUCGCUUUGACCGUUAAGAGCAGGUAACCCGUUCCCUGUGUUUUUGUUUCUAUUGCAUUCUAUCUCAUCGUAUCACAUUCUGUUCUGCGAUAUUUGUCUUAUUCAAUUAUUUCUCUUUAUGACCCAAAAAGGAGCCGUCCUUUAUAUUAGUUGAAAGUUGAAACCUUGAAUAAAGGAAAAUUUGUGAUAUAUGAUCAGAAUGUAGAAUGUCUUUCAAAAAAUUAUUACUUCCUGCCAUUCUUAAUGAGUUGUAGAGUUGUAAUUAGCUGUCUCUUAUAGUGCAUUCAUAAAAACAUUAAUUAUACUUCAUUGUCUUUUUACAUUCUUCUAAGUAACUUAACAUUACAAAACAAAGGGAAAAAGAAUUGUGGGCAAAAAAGAAAAACAAAAAAAACCUGCAUCUUGCAUCCUAAAAUUGUGACAUUUCCUCACGAGUUCUGAUUUCUAUAAUUUUCAAACACAUUGUUCAAAGUUUAGACCCUUUACAAUUCAAAAUACUAGCAUUUCCUCAACUUUUGUUUAGUUGUUUUCUAGAAAGAAAAUUCUUAACAUUUUCUUCCUUUGAAUUCCUCAUCUGCCUCCACUAUGUACAUUUCAGCUCUCUUUUUCUCUGGGGAUAUCCAACGUUGUUCUGCUUCUAACUCUAUUUUUCCCGAGUUAAAUGAUGUUUGCAUGAAUUGGGUUGCUUAUCCUUUUGUCUAUAUCAUUCCUAGUCUUGACUUUAAUGAUGUUUGCAUGAAAUGGGUUGCUUUUCUUCUCUCUAUUGCUGUUACGAUGAUUCGUUUUUUUUUUAUUGCAACUGAAGUAAUGUUUUAAAUAUAGAUUUUAUUUUUAUUUUUUAAAAAAAAAGGGGUUUAAUCUGUACUUUUCUCACUCUUUCUUUCGUCUGAUUAUCAAGUGGUAGGUUGUUAACUUGUUUUUUUCCCAAAUUUUAAACAUAUUUCUCCACCGGUUGUUCACUGGUGGAGAUUCCCUUCAGGUUCUCGCACGCUAAUUGUUUUAGUUUGCUGAAGAAACAUUUCUAAUCUGUUUUUUUUUUCUUCUUCUCUAAAUACAGGUCUUAUGGUUUUCAUCAAACUUUAAGGCCUUUUAGCGGAUCAUAUCAAUUCAGAUUGAAGCGGGUGUUUCAUCCAAGUUCCAACAAUGGUUCUUGGCCUAAGAACUAAGAACAGAAAAGGCUGCUUACAUCAGCUUGUUUACACCGUAAAUGUGAAGGAGAUUAAUCCUUGGACACCAUUGCAAUCACUGCGAUCGGCUCAAUCUGUUUUGCUACAAUGGGAAACUGGUGAUAAGAGUUCUGGAUCCAUAGCUUCUACCAUUGAUAACGGAAAGAUUGAGUUCAAUGAAUCUUUCAAACUUCCAUUAACUUUACGUCAAGAAGCAUCCCGUAAGAGCACGAAUCAUUUGAGUUUCCACAAGAACUGUUUAGAGUUUUACUUGUAUGACUCUCGGAAAGAAAAUGUGUCAAAAGCUCUACUUCUGGGAUCUGCUAUUGUAAAUCUUGCUGAUUAUGGAAUUAUCAAGGAAACUAUAUCCAUUAGUGCUCCUUUUAACUUGAAGAAGAGUUCUAGGAACAUAGAACAUCCUGUUCUUUAUCUUAAUAUCCAACCUUUUGAUAAAGAUAGCUCGAGCGCUUUGUCGAAAGAAGUGUCAUUAGACAAGGAUGGCAGUGAAUGUGUUUCUGAAUUCAUAAAUGAAGGAAAUGAUGAGGAAAUCGAGAUUGCUUCUUUUACUGAUGAUGAUGUUGAUGAUCUUUCCUCACAGUCAUCCCAUAUUACUUCUUCUUCUUCUGUUUUCGAUCAUUCUAGAGAGUCACAUAUUCAACAUGAUAAGGUACUUAGGUUCAUCAUCCUCCUUUUGUUCUUCAUUUCCAUUUUCAUUGAAUUGUCUGUUAACUGUUGUCUUUGAAUUGGGGUAUAAGAUUGGAUUGGAUUUAUGAAUUUGGCUUGGAGGACUUUGAUCCUUGGGCAUUACCAUAAGUACUGCUUUUUGAGGACUUAACACCGUCCUACUUAGACACUCAUGUAUGCUACUCUUAGUAGUGUUAAUUGAAAUUGCAUAUAUUUUGCACAUGCAAUUUUCUGUAUAGUUACAAUUUGUUUAGUUAAUAUGGGGAAUGGGUUUUCAUCUUGGGACCUUUUCUUAAGUUAAGGGGUAGCUGGUGAUUUUAGGCUAUGGCUUGACUUGAAAAUCACUAGCAGCAAUAAGAUGAGCCAAAAUUAGUUUUGGGAACACAUCAGAUGGUUGUUUCUUAUCAUCCGCUACCACCAUGAUUCUAUUCUGGGAGGUCUGUCGUAGUUCUGGUUAAUUUGGUGGCUGUCAAUGUCAUCUUAACAAAGCUAGAAUUUCUGAAUGUUUAAUAGCAUGUCACUGUUGAUUACAGAAUCAAUCAGAAUCAGCCACUGGUGGGUUUGAAAGGCUUGGGCUCACGCUUCCUUCUGCUGGAACAAAUGUAAACUCGGGGGUAAGUCCAAUUGUUGAAGCAUUCAAACAAGUGAAUGGCAAUACUUCUCCUUCAUCUUCAGUGGACUUGUGCUCCAACUCUAUGAAUCCUGUAACUAAUCCUAUGGCUAAAGUUGCAUCCCGGGAGCACGGUGGUACUACCAUUCCAGUAGAGACCAACUUAGACCAUGUAAAGGAUGAAGAUUUGUCCAACAACCCCAAGAAUCUUGUAACUUAUCCCAAGGCUGAAGUAGCAUCCUCAGAGACAAGUGUUACCAUUCCGGUAAAUACGAAUUUAGAAUAUGUAAAAGGUAAAGGUUUAUCCAACAACCCCAAGAAUCCUGUAAGUUAUCCCAUGGCUAAAGUUGAAUCUGCAGAGACGAGUGUUACAAUUCCAGUAGAUACGAAUUUAGACCAUGUAACAGAUAACGGUUUGCCCAAUAGCCCCAAGAAUCCUGUAACUUCUCCUAUGGCUAAAGUUACAUCCUCAGAGAGGAGCAUUACCAUUCCAGUAGAUAUGAACUUUGACCAUGUAAAAGAUUCCCAUGCCAAAAGAGAGGGUGAUAGGAAAGCAUUGAGGCAUGACCAAAGUCAUGUAGACAGAUCUUUAAGUAGCAUUUCACAUGUUGGUCAGCGGAAGGAAAAUGAGGAAAAGACACUGUGGGAAGUUGAGCUGGAUAGCCAGAUUUUAAAUGCCAAGGAAUACUCUCCGCAGGACAUGUUAGGUUUUAUACCGACUCAAGAUUCUACAGAAAAUAAAAUCAGUUGGAGGAGUAACACUUUUGCGUCCAGCUGUGAAACAACUGAAGUCAAAGGUGGCUUCAUUGCAAACGAUGGACAGAAGCAUGCGGCACCUGUUCAAUUGCAUUUUGACAACAAUGGCCUGUCAAAGAAGAUCCAGUUUAUGGAGAAGGCAAAGGAACAUGAUAUUUCCGAGGAGAUUUCUAAUGGUAACUCAAGUGAUAUGCAUAGUGAAAGGGAAGAAACAGUGAACAACUUUUCUAACAGUAAAUUUAACUCAGGUAACAGUUAUGGGCCACUAAAGAAUACUAAGUUCAUGGAGAAGGCAAAGGAAUCUGAUAUUCCUGAAGAGAUUCAUAAUGGUUCUACAAAGGAUACAUGUAAUGAAAGCGAAGAAGAUGCAAAUAGCUUUUCCAACAGCAAAGUUGAACUGGAGUCCAAAAUUGAAAUGCUUGAACAAGAAUUGAGAGAAGCUGCUGUUGUUGAGGCUAGUCUUUAUUCUGUUAUUGCAGAGCAUGGGGGUUCUGUAAACAAGGUUCAUGCUCCAGCUAGACGACUUUCUAGAUUCUAUAUCCAUGCUUGUAGAACAAGUAACCCAGAUAAGAGGGCAAGUGCUGCUAGGGCUGCUGUUUCAGGAUUGGUUUUGGUCUCUAAAGCCUGUGGAAAUGAUGUUCCAAGGUGUGUUCUUACACUUCCUGUAAUUUUUUUCCCUUUUAGAAAAUGGAACUGGAAGAUUUUAGAUUCUACCUUCUCUACCACCAAAGAUGUUAGUUUGGUUUGCAUGUUGAUCAUUCCUAUCCCAUUAUUCAUAGGUUAACCUUCUGGUUGUCAAAUUCAAUUGUACUGAGAGCAAUUGUGAGCAAUGCUAUUGGGGGAAUUCAGCUAUAUUCUGGACCAUGCUUAAAUAGUAGUAGCGAGGGAAUGGUGUUGGAGGACAACUCCCAUCUGCAAGAGGAAUGCAAUUCAACGGAAAGUUUUGAAGAGUGGGUGGACCCUCAGACGUUUCUACUUGCAUUGGAGAAGUUCGAAACUUGGAUCUUCUCCAGAAUAAUUGAGUCAGUCUGGUGGCAGGUCAGUCCUUUCUUUUAAAAGCUUAGUGCAUAUCGUCUUCUAAGUGCAUAUCUAAUGCUAUUUCUUCCUAUAUACUUGCCAGACUUUGACUCCACAUAUGCAGUCGGCUGCUGCAAAGAGCUCAAGCUCAAGGAAAACAUCAACCAAAAGAUAUGGAUUAGGCGAUGAAGAGCAGGGGAAUUUUUCAGUCGAGCUUUGGAAGAAGGCUUUUAAAGAUGCCUGCGAGAGGCUUUGUCCCAUUCGAGCAUGUGGACAUGAGUGUGGUUGCUUAUCCAUGCUGGCUAAAUUGGUAUUAUGAUACAUUUUAAGUUAUUUUUAUUUUAUGCAUAAAGAACUUGGCCUUGAAGUCUAUCCUUGUUUAUGUUCAUUAUGUCUCUUUGUGAUAUGAUGGGGCCAUGUCGUUGUUUCUAUCACAUUAAUUAUCAAAUUGUUAAUGUUGUCGACAUGCAAAUUCGAGAUUAGGUCAUGGAGCAAUUGGUGGGUAGAUUGGAUGUUGCAAUGUUCAAUGCUAUUCUUCGUGAAUCAGUGGACGAAAUGCCAACAGAUCCUGUUUCUGAUCCUAUAUGUGAUUCAAAGGUUCUUCCCAUUCCUGCAGGAAAAUCAAGCUUUGGGGCUGGUGUACAAUUAAAAAAUGCUGUGAGUAUUUGGUUGCUCUUUCUGUUGAGCUACUUUAGUACUUAAUUGCCUCUAUGAUUCGUAAGUUCUGAACCCGUUUCCAUAUAUUUAAAGAGAAAUCCACCCAACUUACAUUUUACUGAUGUUAAUAUUUUUAUAUGCACAUCAAAAGUACACAUUUUCAUAUAUUCGUUUAAUAACUCAUCUGCUGCUGGAGAUAGUUAACUGUAUCAAUACCUGCAAUUCCAGCCUAUUAAUAUGCUUUACCUUCUGCUUUAUUUUCUCUCUUUAACUUAACACAUGAUUUUAUCCGACAGUCGGAAAUUUCAUUCACUUCGAAGAAGUUAAAUGCUUGAACCUUGUGAUCUCUUGUCCCCCAAAUAUUUUAUUAAGAAUUAAUUUAAGCAUGCAAAAGCUUAUUAUGUGUUUAACAUUUGACUAAGAGGGAUCUUUUUUCUAUUGACCUUGCCUUAGCAGAUUGGAAACUGGUCAAGAUGGCUAACUGAUCUAUUCGGUAUUGACGAUAAUGACGGUCCUGAAGAUAGCAACGAAGUUGAUGAUGACAAAAAAGCAGGAUUUGAGGCUUCCUUCAAGGCCUUUGGUCUCCUCAAUGCAUUGAGUGAUCUCAUGAUGCUUCCAUCCGAUAUGCUUGUCAAUCGGUCCCUGAGGAAGGAGGUAUAGUUCGGAAUCAUGUAUAUAUGUAUCAUCAUACAUAUUUAGUCUUGUAUAUAUCUCAUUCUUCUGUUGCAUCCUUAUUCAUGUUGAAGGUAUGCCCCAAAUUCAGCCCACGAUUGAUCAUCAAGGUUCUUAACAAUUUUGUGCCUGAUGAAUUCAAUCCGAACCUAGUUUCAGAGGCAGUUUUUGAAUCAUUGGACGAGGUUUGUCAUGACAUAACCCCAAAAAGAAAAAGUUUGCUUAAAAUGAACUUUCCACUUCUUUUGUCAACCCGGAAUCUUCCAAGUUUAUGGUGCUGAAUUUUAUUUUUCCUGACGGAUCCGUGUUCUCGUAUUCAGGAUAAUUCUGAGGUUGGGGACGAGUCUAUUGCAAACUUUCCAUGUAUGGCAGCUCCAACAGUGUAUUCACCACCUUCGGCAGCUUCCCUAACAGGCAUUGUCGGAGAGGUCGGAAGUCAAGCCUUGCGAAGAAGUAGAUCAGUGCUUAGAAAAUCAUACACUAGUGAUGAUGAGCUUGAGGAGUUGGAUUCACCCAUCACCUCGAUCAUUAUCGAGAACCGCAGCGAUUCAACCGAUUCAAAAUCACUGAAUUGGAUGAGAAUAGGAAAGGGAGACCGAAAAGUAAUUCGAUAUCAAUUAAUCCGAGAAAUAUGGAAAGAAGGCGAAUGGUAAAAUUUCUUAAGUUUUAACCCCCUCCCACUGUUCUUCACUGAACAUGGUUUUGUAUAUAAGCUCAUGACUUAUAGGCUGGUGUAUUAAGUUGUUGGAGUUUAACAGAAAUCGGUAUUUUCCAUCAGCUAUUCUUCUAUUUAUUAAGAGCUCAUAUCGUCUAUGUUAUGUUUUUUUUGCAUGCCAACACAAUCAAGAUACUGCAAGGGCAUGUACGGAAAAGGUAAGCUUAGACUUAAAUCUAUUUGCUCGUUUAAUCAAUAUUUUUCAAUUGGAUCAUUUUAAAUUAUCUUUUUUAUUUUUAAAAUUUUAAAAUUUUAAUCUUAACAAUAACAAACUAAUAUAACAUUAUGUUGUUUGUUCCAGAACCUUUAAGAGCUUUCUAGAAUUGCUUUGAGAAAGGAUGACUCAUUAUUUUUACUGAUCUGUAGAAUUGGUUACUCCAGCUAACCAACUUUGUCUUCUUUGUUACCAAUUUAUGUAUAAAUCUGCUACCUGUUAUUGGAAAAGGGGAUUGGUUAAAUGACAUUUCAGUUUGCCCCUCUAGUUUGUUGUUUUUUUCUAAUCAUGAUUUAUUUUCUGACUCAUUAUACAUAUAAUCAUAUAUUUGCCCCUUAAAAAAAUGGUUUGCAAAUUUUAAAAAUAAUACCACUUCAUAAAUUUGAUAGUUAUUAUUAGAAAAAACUCUUUUGGUUGGUGUAAGUGGAGAAAAAACCAAUUUCCCUUUGGUUGGUAUCAUAUAUGUAAGGUAUUUUUAAAGAAGGAAGGUUCAGAAAAAUUUGAUAUAGAUUAAAAUUUUAUUACUAUUUUUUAUGAAAAUAUAUUUUCAACUAUUAAAUAAAUAUUAAUAUAUACAAUUUGAUUGAUAUGAUACAAAUAUUGGAUUGGUUUGAAAAUUUACAUUCAUUCCAACUGACAAGUACAAUUGUAUUGAUUAAAUGCUAAAAUUACAUAAUUUAUAUAAUUAAAUUGGUUAAUUUAUGAGAGUGCACCACUGAUUUUUUCAUGUUUAUAUUGAAUUUUGUGCAAUGAUACAAUUUGGGGCUAAAUAGAAGAAAAAGGAAACAAUUGGACUAGAUUGAAGAAAGGAGCAAAGAAGGCGGGACAAAGCAGAAUUUUUCUAAGAUUUAAUUAGCUGAAAUUCUAUGUUGACUAAGUGGAGUUUAUGUAGGGAUUUUUUAUAUCAUGGAAUAUUUUAUUUUCUUGAUUUUCUAUGGCUAGUGGCUCUUAAUUUAGUAAAGCCACUAGUAUAAAUAGGGGGCUACUUGUUCAUUUAACCAUCAAGUCAUUAAUCAAGUUUUUAAUUACCAAGUUUUUUUUAUUAAAUUUUGCAUCAAGUUCUUUUUAAGCUUUUCAUCAAGUCUUUCAUCAAGUGUUUUUCAUCAAGUUUUUAAUCAAGCCUUUAUCUUUUGAAUUCAAUCUUUUCUUUUCUUUUUGCAAAUUUAUUUGCUUACAUUGACUCCUUAUAUUUUUCCAUUUAUUAGUUUCCAGCUUUGGAAAUACUGCACCGAAACCUUGCGUCACGCACAUCCAUCCAUUUACAUUUUUUUUUAUCCAACCCUCUCCAAAUAUGCCUAACUCCAACAUGCCCAAAGCCUUAGUCAACUAAAUCCAUUUCAGCUUUAGGUCGGUGUUAGCUUCGUCAAGACCCGUGAGUUACAAACCCGAGCAAUUUAACUCCUAAAUUUCAGUACUUAUUAUUUCUCCAGAUUAAGAGUAUGAUUUUGUCAACUCACAAAGUCAAAUCAACACUAAGUCAAAAAAGACGUCGUUUGAGUUAAUGUGGUUAGACGUACAGUUGGAAUUCCGAAAUGAUAGAUUGUCUAAUCGAUUUUCCGUGAACACAUUUCAGGUUCCAGGUUCCAUGAACCUAAAACCUAUGGAACCUGGAACCUGGAACCUCGAAAAAACCCGUGCCUAAAGCUGAGCUUAGUUUAAUUAAUUUUUCUUCAGAUUUAUUUAACUGUUUUUAUUAUUUUAUUUUCAGCUUUUACUUUUCACGCAUUUUUUCCUUGUUUAUUUCAGGUUUCAGGUUUUCAAUUUUAUCCUCUCCCCAAAUUUUUUGGGCACGACAACUACCCAGACACAAAUCUAGUCGAGAAAGAGAAACAAUUUUCAAUAAACCCAGUCUCUAAGGGAUCGACCCUACUCCCUAUACUGCUUAAAUUACAAAUUAGGCGUAGAUUUAUAUUGGUGGACUCGACACCCAUCAUGUAUCCAUAAAUUCAAUGGUUAGAUCGUUAAAAUAUUAGUAGUGCAAAGAAAUUUAUUCAAUUUAUUUUUUUCAUAAGUUAAAUAUUAAGUUGGUUUUAAAUAAGUUUUUAUUAUAAAUAUUUAUGUAAUUAAUUUUAUUUUAUUUUUUUGCAAUCAAUUCAAGUAACUUUUAAUGUUUCAAUAUUAAAAUUAGUGAAUAGUUAAUUGUUAAACUUAAAAUAUAUUUUAUAUUAAAAAAUAUUAAUAAUGUUGAUUAAAUUAAAUUUAUAAAUAAUAAAUAACCUAUAAAAUAGUAUAAAAUAUUACUUAAAUUAUAAAUAUUAAUAUUAAUAAAAUAUCGAUUUUUAUUGUUUUAAUCUUAAAUAUUUUCAAGAUUAUAUGCUAUUAAUAUAAUACAUUCUAAAUUAUUUAAAUAUUUUUAAAAAUAUUGUAUAGUUAAAUCAAUUUUUAAAAUCAUUAAGAAUUUAAACGAUUAAAAAAAUUAUAUAAUUACCAUACAUAAUUGUCCAACCGUGCAUUGCGCAGGAUAUGACAUAUCAUAUGUAAAGUAAGGUAGGGGGCAUUUUAAGAAAUUUUGAGUUCCAAAGUGUGACAAGUGUCACCACUAAAUAACAUCUGUUUAAUUGGUGAAACACAUUCAUUAAAGAUAAUAAACAAAUUUGGAAAUGAUCCCUAUAAUUUCAAUGAGUAAUUUCAAUUAGUCCUUAUUUAUGAGCUGUAAAUUGUGGAAUAUGUUAGUUUUUCUUCCCUACAUACUAAGAUAAUCAUAAUUUUUACAACAUUAACUUCCUUUUUCUUAUUAAACAAGCUAUCCUUUAAAAUUAUUACAUAAAACUAUUGAGUAUAUUUUUUAAAUACAAUUAAUCUGUGUACUUAAUUAAAAUAAAAAUGACUUUUCAAUAAUCAUAACAAGUUAGUAUACAUUAUAAUAUUGCAAAAAUUAAAAUAGGAAUUAUAACAACAUUUUGGAACAACUUUUUAAGGCAGAGAUUGAAGAUAUUAAAUAUUAGAAAUCAAGAGUUCUUUUUAUAAAUUCUAAUCUGACUCAUUUGUUAAUUUGGAAGAAUAUUAGUAAUUAAUUCAUCUUUAUUUUAAACAUUACUUUCUACAAAUUAAAUAUUUAUAUUAAUUUAUUAUUAUUUUUCAAUAUUAAUAUUAUUGAAAUGUUACAAAAUUUAAUUGAUACAUUCAACCAAAUAAAGAAUUAAUCAUUGAAAUAUGAUUGAUUGAUAUUGGUCAAUAGACCUAUUCAUAAAUCAAGUUAUCCAUUCAAAUCGAAACAUUCGCCCAAAUUUUAAGAUUUGAAAAAUAAUAUUAAGCCCAAAAAAUAAGAUCCAUUUAAAAUAUGAAAUAAGCUUUAAACGUUCAAAACUAAACUCAUUUUACAAUUUAAUGUUUUAUAUCAUGUUAUUUUAUAUAUUGAGUAAUUUAUAACACAUAAAAAUUAAAUCUAUAAUAAAAUAUAAUACUAAAUAUUAAAUAUAUAUAAUUAUUACAAUUAUUUAUUUUUAUAAGUUAAGAUAUAUUUUUAAAAAUAACAAAACAAGCUUAAAAUAAACUUAAAUUAACCAUUUACAAAUCUAAACAAAAUUAUCAAAAUUUUAAACCAAUAUUUCAAAUCCCACCAAAUUUGAGUAAAUAUAAACUAAAUUCAUAUUUUUAGGUCAACUAAAACCUAAUUCAUUUUAUAAGCACCUCUAUUGUCUAGAUUUAAGAAUGAAAAAUUCAAAACAAGUUUUGAUUGAGAAAAAUCAUUCUAAAAUUUCAACUCAACUAAUUAGCAUAACAUAUUAUUUAAUAUAUUUAAAAUUCAACUUAAAAUAUUUACAACCUACUUUAAUUACAUCGGUAUUUAAAACAAGUACUUCUGUUUCAAAAUUUCAAAAAGGUACAAGCGCUCAAGGAUAAACAACCAUCCUUCAAUACAAUCAAUGUUAACGAUGAAAUCAACAAAAUCUUAUCAUUUGUACUUGUAUAUUGCUAUUCUUUAAUAUUCAUCAUCUAGAAAUAUAGCACUGUGUCAAAACAUAUAAACACAAACACAGUCAUUUAGCAUAUUAAUUUAAAUACCUUGGAUUUUGACUUGCAAGUAAUAUUAUGAGGAAAAGAUAUUUAUAGAUUUUGAUGUAAAUUUUGAGAUAAAAAGAUGUAGCGACCUGUUCGAGGCCACGAUCAAAACGAAAAUGAAGUUAAUGGGCACGGAGAAUCGCUCAAUGAUAUUGCCAACCUUCAAUGCAAAUCACGCCAUCAAUAAUUAAUUGACGCCUUUGCUCUGCAAAUUGGCUUUCUUUUAAUAAGAAGCAAAAGAAAAAUAAAAAAAUCUUUAGAAGAGGAGCAGCUGUGAGAUGGCAGAUAUAGAUUUUUGGAAGAAGGGUCGUUUAUAUAGAGGGUGGUGAAGAACCAAAACCCUAAGUCGAGAUUGAAUUAUUACUGUAAAAUGGCCAAAAAUACCCUUCUUUUUAUAGCUUUUUGCGCUUUUGUGGGAGCAGGGCCUGGAUGAGUUUGUUGUGGGCUCAAUUUUCAUGCUUAUAUUAGGCUUAAUUCAUUGUUCCGCUCUUAAAAGUAUAUAUAUUUUCCCAUUUUGGUGUUUAAAUUUUUUAUUUUAUAACCAUGGUUUUAAAAUUAUGUUAGGCAAUUUUGAUCAAUGAAAAAGUGUCACAUGACAUGUUUUGGCCAAUGAAAAAAUGCAUCAUGUAAUUAAGUUUAUUUAAAAUAAAAAUAUUAAAUUUAAAUUUUGGACGACGCAACGUUAUUAUUAAAAUGAGUGACGUCAAGAUGAGCUAGGGCUUGUCGCUGCGACGUGACAUAUUGUGAUGGUUAUAUCAUGACAAAAACUAGAUAAAGUCGCAACUUCAAUCCAUAUAUUUUAAAAAUUUUGCAAUGUGAUCCUAUUUUAUACUUGGGUUGAUAAAAAAGCUCUUAUAAGCUCGAUUAAAGCUCUAGACUAUUUGUUUAACCUGGAAUGAAUGGGGUUAACAUUGAAUAGUAUGUGUAAAUGUUUGUUUUAAUGUGAACUUGAUGGUAGUUGCUCCGGCAACGAAUGUAACAUUCUAUAGCUCAAAUCCAACAAUUAGGCCCAGCGAAAGGCGUUACAAUGAGUCUUGAUUUUUUAUGUCUGGAGAUACAUUUAGCUUUAGGGUGUUUUUUUAAUUUAACUUAUGUAUUAAAUGAUAAAAUGAAUAUCAUAAAAAAAUUAUCAUUUCAAUUUGGUUUUUAAAAUUUAAUGGGUAUUGGGUUUUAAAGUUUUAAUGGGUUUUGACUUUUAAAAGUAUUGAGUAAUAUGUAUUUUAAUUUAAGGUUUAGGGUUUAGAGUAUUUGAGUUUAUUAUGUAUUUGAGUAAUUACCAUUUACAUACUCAAUCCCUGAGGCAAGGAUCGGUCUGAUCUUACGAAGAGAACUCUAUAAUUCAAAAAUGUUCUUAAUAGCAAGUAGGUUUCUCGAGUCCUAAAGAUAUUUAGCUUUAAGAGUUUGAACCCAAAGACUAAUAUAUUCAUAUAUUAAUCCCCAACCCAAUUUAAUUGGGAGGGCUUGAUUUUUCUUUUGGGUGAGGGGAUACCUAAUUUAAUUUUGGUCUAUGUGCUAUACUCGAAUUUAAUAUCUAAUCUUUAUACUACAAAUUUUUUUAUAUAAAUUGGUACUUCAAUUUUUACAAUAUCAUUUAUUAGCGCAAAUACUUUAUUUGAUUAAAAUGUUUAUAUACUUUUAAAAGUUGUAAACAAUGUUAAAAUCAUUUGUUAAAAUUAAGUCUAUUGUAGUGCUUUUUUCUAUUACAUUGGUAGCAAAUUGAUACAUGCAUGGAUGGGGUGAAAUUUAUUAAAUUCCAUUCACCGAAACUACCAAUUUUUAAGUUUGGAAAAUCAGUAGACUUACGGCGACUUUUUGGAUGGGAUAUUCUAGACAUUUCUAGGUUGAGAUGUCUUCAUGGCGUUUAAAGAUCUAUCUCUUAGCUUCGAAACACAUUUUGAAUCACUUGAUUUUGAAUUCGGGAGCUCAAGUUAUGACCGUUUUAGUGAAGACUGUGCAAGUAGAAUUUCUAGACAGGAUUAUGACGGGAAUUACGAGUUUCAGGCUUUUAAUUUGAGUUUAAAUCAUAUUGGGUCCGAGUUUUAGGCUUAAUUUUUAUUAUAUAUGAGCCCGAUAUUGUAUUUAUCAGCUCUUAUUAUUUUAUUAUUUCAAAUUUUUAAUAACUAUUAAGUAGUUUAAGUUAUUUAGGAGUUUUAUGUCAAUAAGAAAGUUUAGUUUAAAACUACUUCUUGUUUAGAUUAAUUAGAAUUCUAGUAUACUUAAAAAUUUUAUUUAGAUUUAUUUAGCUAGCCUAUAUAUAGGCAUUUGCAUUGUACAUAAAAGAGACAAAUUUGUUUUCAUUAAUAAAAUUUUUAAUUUUGGGAGUUUGUUUCUUGUGCAAGAUUUAUUUCUUGUGAUUUUUAGAAGUAGUUUUAUUCUCGAUUUUUUUGAAAGAGUCAUGAGAAUUCAUUCUUCACCUUCCAAUUUGUCAAGGAUUAUUUCUUGGAGGAUUGAUUAAAGUCAUUAAUUGAGUUUGUUUGGAUUUAUAUCUUAAAGGAUUCAAUUGGAUAUUUAUCUUUCUAUCCAUCAUAGCUAUUGGUUUAUUCAAUUCAUCUUCCACUUUUAAAUUUUAUCUAUUUAUUUAUAUAUUAUUAUUUGUUCUUUGUUCUCAAAUUUCUUCUUUUACUGUUUUUGACUUCUUUAUUAUUAAAUUUGUUUAUUUCUUUUUUCAGAUCAGAUCCAAAUCUUUCCUUUUCGAGUUGAACAAUUUGAAUUCGAUUUGCUUCCACCUUUAGACCUAUCAAAAAUGUGUAUUUUUGUUUAAAUUUUAAAAUGUUACACUAACGAAUUUAACAAAAAAAGAUAAUGUUAACAAUUGAAUUUAAAUUUUUAAAUUUGAAAAAUACAGAAAUUAAAUUCUUAAAAGCGAAAACAUAAAAAUUAAAUUUCAAAUGUACAAAGGCUACAUAGACAUAGAAUAUAUUUUAAUCUUCAAAGAAACAUUAUUUAAAGAUUGUGUUUUAGAUUAAAUUUUAGUGUAUAUUGUAAAUAAUGUUUGAAUAUUAAAAUGUACUCAAAUUAUUCAAAUAAAGAAAGGGGCCCACUGGCCCAGUUUGAGCUGAUUUUGUCCUUUUUGGACGUUUUCGCUUUUAAAAAACAAACAAACUUAAAUUAGAACCAAAACAAAACAAACCCAUGUCGAAAAUCGAAAUGGCAGUUUUCGUAAAAUUUAACAAAGAAAAAAUUGGAAAAUGGUACGCCCACCGUGGGGCUCGAACCCACGACCACAAGGUUAAGAGCCUUGCGCUCUACCGACUGAGCUAGACGGGCAAUUUGAAAGUUCACCAAAAUAAUUCAAAAUACCUUUUACUUUGACUAAUUACAUUCCCGCAACAAUAUGUAGGAUUCUAUAAUUGAGAUAUGAACCCAUGUCUACAAACAAACUGUGGAAAGAAAAUAUCUUGGAAGUCAAAACUUGAAAAGUAUUUCAUAGCAAACAACUGUUGUAAAAGAAAAUGAAAAAUAUCAAAUUUUAUAUAACAUAAAUUAUUAGCUUAUAAAAUUUUUUAUAUAAACAUAAAAUAUAUUAAAUAAAAUUAUAAUACAAAAAAAGUACACAAAUAUGAAUUGAGUACACGAUUUUCUGGAUCUACUGUAUAUUAUCGCGUUUGUGCACUAAAGCCCAAGUGAAAGUACAUUUUCUAAUGCUCGGUUUUGAACAUACAGACAUUGUGAUUGAAUGAGUGGCUAAAUUUAAAGCUACUAUGACAAAAUAGAAUCUAAAGAAAGUGGAGCACUCGGACGAUCAUGGCCUGUGCUUCUUCAUUGUUGAUAAUAUCACAACACAAUUCUCUAUUUACUUCCAUCUGCUCCUUUUGAAAACACUGGAUUUCCACAGUUUUGGAAAUACGCAUGCUUUGGUUCAUCAUCUAAGGUUUGAAUAAAUAUAAUUUGCUUCAAUCAAAUUUUCUUGUUGGCCUUGUCAAUCCUUCUUCGUCAUUAAUUCUAUUACUGUGUUUUGAGCUCAAAUUUGCUUGGUUCCUACCAAGCAAAUCAAAGAUUUUCUCUUAUUCCAUUAUCACAUGAUCUUUCAUGCAACAUUAAUCUACCAUUUUAACUUGGUUUAUGAGUAUAUCGUUGGGUGCAAUAGUAAGUCAUAUUGUACUCUAAAAAAAUAUAAAUUCAAACCUGAAAAAUGACAUUAUUGAAACGGACAAUCACUAACCUCAAACGUUCAAGAUCAAAAACUUAUUUAUUCAAAGUCAAUUAAUACCCACUUAGAACCUUUUUUUGUUGAUACUAAAUAACCAAAAAUUAAAUAUAACAAUUUUGGAUAUGACUGGAUUCCAUGAUAUCCAUAUAACAAAUAAUUAAAAUAUAACAUAUAUUAAUGCACGAAUACAUAAAAAUUUACAAAAUUUUAAUAAUUUAAAAAAUCCUCAAUUUUUAUUAAAUCAAUUAAACUUUUUUUACACCCAGUUGACUUUCUGAAUUGAAAAAAAGGUAUUAAAUAAUUUUUUGACCAACAAAAAUCAUCUAUUGUUAAGUUGUAACUACCAUGAUUAGAUACUAAAACUAUAUUAUAGUGUAAAAUAAAAAGUAAACUAAAUACAUUGCACCGCAUCAAAUUAUCCAUCCAAACCCAUCCUAAAUGGUGGCUAAUGACGAUUGAUUCAGUUGAUUAUGAUGAAGCCACAUACCAUGUAUAUAAAAUGCUAACAUGAUAUAAAAAUAUAUAGAAGAUAUGGGAAUAUAAAAAAAUUUAAAAAUAAAAAAGAGUAAAAGAUUAUAACAAUUAUUAAGUGGAUCUAGAUAAUAUAUGGAAAAUCAAUAAAAAUAAUAAAUCUAUACAACUAUCUUUUUGUUUUUUUUGGGUAAACUACCUAAUUGGUCACUAAAUUUUUAGGGCAUUCUCAUUUUGGUCACUCAAAAUGCAAUCUUUGCAAUUUCGUCACUCAAUUUUUAGGGUGCUUUCAUUUUAGUCACCUAACCGUUAAAUCUAUAACGACAAUUAACUGUAUACGCCACAUCAUGAUCACACUUUCAUUUUGGUCACCCAACUUUUAGGCUGCUUUCAUUUUGGUCACCAAAUAAUAUCCUUUUUUUAAGUAUUGGUUAGGAUAAAAAAAGUUAACCAUUAAAGUGAAAAAGCGGUAGAACCUAAAAUAAUGCUUGUACUUGUUUACCCCCUUGGCAAAAGUUUAAUUUUUUUUUUGAAUAUUGAAAUUUUAAAUUUUAAAACAUCAAAAUCAAUUAAAUAAGUUAUUGACGAUUUUUUAUCCCUUGAUAGUAUCAACCGAUUUGUUACAAUAAUAUUGAAAUAAUUAAAUUAAUUAAUUUAGCCUCCUUUUAAAUUUUAAAAUUUUAUUUUAUGUUUCUAAAUUAAAAUAAACUGAAAUAAAUUAUUUUUAAUGAUUGUACAUGAAAUUUAGUUUUUUUAUUAUAUGAUCUCAAGUCUUUCCUACUAAGCUAAAAAUAAAGAAAAAUCUUUACAAUUAAUUUAAUUAAUUAAUUUUAUCUUCCAUGCCAAACAAACUCCAAAAAAAAUUUCAUCACUUCUUUACUAAAACGAAGAACAGACAAUUAAUUUAAUUAAUUGCAAUGAUUUUUCUUUACUUUUAGCUUAGCAUGGAAGAUUUGACAUUAUAUAAUCAAAAGAAAUUUAAGUUUCACAGACAAUUAUUAAAUAUGAGUUAUCGAGUUGAUUUCAUUAAGAAUAAUAUGGAAACAUAAAAUAAAAUUUUUUAUUUUAGAAAGAGACUAAUUUAAUUAAUUUCAAUAUCACAAUGACAAAUCGGUUAAAAUUAUCAAGGGAUAAAAAAUUUUCGACAAUUUAUUUAUUUGGUUUUAUCUUUUGAAAUUAAAAUUUUCAAUAUUGAAAAGAAAAGAAAUUUAGAAUUUUUGACAAUGUGAUAAACAAGUACAAUUUAAUAAUUUUUUAAUACAUUAUUUUAGUUUCUACCGCCUUUUCACUUUAAUCCUCAAUUUUUUUUACCCCAAUCAAAUACUUAAAAAAAUAUUUUUUUUGGGUAACCAAAAUGAAAGCUACCUAGAAGUUGGAUGACCAAAAUGCAAGUGUGAAUAUGAUGUCGUAUGUAUAGUUAAUCACCAUUAGAGAUUUAUCAAUUGGGUGACUAAAAUGAAAAUGCUUUAAAAGUUGGGUAACCAACUAAUCAGUUUACCUUUACUUUAAUCUUUAAUGGUUAUGGUCAAAUUUGAUGACUAUGGUCAAAUUUCAUCUUUAAUCCCUUUACUUUUUUGAGAUUAUACAAGAAUGGUUAAAUUUCAAUUUUGAUCUCUAUAGUUCACUCAAAUUUGAAACUGAAUCUCUAUACUUUAAUUUUGACAUAAUUUGGCACCUCGAUUCUUACAAUGUCAUUAGUUAAUCUAAAUACUUUAUUCUGAUUACAAUGCGUAUGUGAAAUUUUAAGGAUUGUUAACACCAUUAAAAUUCUCUAUUAAAUUCAAGUUCAUUACAGCGUCUUUUUUUUUGUUAUAUGGAUACCAAAUGAGUAUCUUUUUAAUUUCAAAAUGUUACGCUAACAAAUUUAACAAAAGAAUUAUAACAAUGUUAACAAACAAAUUUAAAUUAAGACUAAAUUCCCAAAAAUAAAAAUAUAAAAAUUAAAUUCUAAAUACUCGAAAAAUACUUUAUAAUAUUAUAUCUUUUAAAUUUUCACUUUAUAAUUUAAUUAGAAAAUAAAUAAUUAACCCAAGCGAAGAGAGUAAAACCAUACUAAUACAUACUAAUAAUUAAGAAUUCUCUUAUCAGAAAGAAGAAACACUCUCACUGCUCGGAGCCAGAGGGCAGGGCAGAGACUAUUUUGACCCAAUGAAUAACCAAAAAACUGAAAUAAUAAAAAGAGAACAAUAAUAAGAUAAAACCUUCCACAAGAAUGGAUUUGCCCAUUCGGUGGAGCCUCCAAUUCAUGCGUACUAAUUUGAAUCAAUUCCAAAAGGGAUAUAUAUUCUAAUUUAAACUUUGUAAUUUUGGCAAGAUUUGAUAAUAUAACUAAUGUUACUGGAAUAAGAUUAGAUCGUAUAGACUAAAAACUAAUUGGUAUAAUAAUCUGAACAAAAGGAUUAAACCGGCUAACUCAGAUCCUACUUGAAAUUAGUAAAAAUCAAAAAUUAGAAUAGAAAUCAACACCUGAACUAAUUUAAUAAAUUUCAUUUUUGAAAUUUUUUAUAAAUUUUUUAUUAUUUAUUUAAUUAUUGUUGGUUCGGCAAUUGAAUUGGUCGAACUAGUUGAAUCUGUUUUCGGUGGUUUGACUUGUUCAACCAUUGGUCUGAUUAUUAAAAUACUGAAUAUGACACUCUGAGCUUGUACCAUAUCAUUACUUGAAAGUUUAUAUAAAAUUUUUAAUUUUCAAGUAAUGAUAUGGCACAUUCUUAAAGUGCAACGUCAUCAAACUUUUAUAUUUUUUAAAUUUAGAGAUCAAAAUGAACCUAAUUGUUAAAUUCAAGUGCCAAAAUUGACAAAAAAGUAUAGGUACCAAAAUGAAUCUAGUUACCAAAUUCAGGAAAAAUAUUAUAUUAUCCCAUGACAAAAAUAGACUGUUUUUAAGGAAUCCAAUAACUUUGGUUGCUCCAUGUUAGAAUCUUUGUAGAUAGACCAAACUCUACUAUUUUGAACGAUGAGAAUGUUGGAAAAAUACGGUUUAGAAAAUGUGGUUGUUGCGUAGUGGAAGUUCAAUUUAUUUUUUAAAUUGAGCUUUUGUGAUAUUUACAACAACUAACCCUUUAUUCAAAUUAUACCUAUGUUUUCAGAAUAGGCAGAAUAGGUCAUUCUGAUCUUUCAACUUCUUGAACUUCUUCAUUAAUCUCGACUUUGGGUUGCUAGAGUGUGGGCUUUAUUUGUGAACCAAUUAACACUUGUGAAAACUUUCUAAGACUAAAAACCGAUUAUCUAAUAAAGUUUUUUUUUUACUUUUUAUUUUUUAAAAUCAUUUGAAUUUUAAAUAAUUUAUAUAUAAAUUUUAAUUUAUAAAUAUUUUUUUAUAAUUUUUCUAGAACUUUUACAAUUUUAUAUUUUUUCUAUUCUUAAAAAUUUAAAUUAUUUACUGAUAUAAUAUAAUAAGACAAAAUAGUAUUAAGUCUGUACAGACCCAUUUUGCCCGAGCCCAAACGACCCAAUACCCAAACUCAUUACAAACCCAAAUAACCCAACAAAAUAAAAUCAAGCCCAAAAUGCCCUAGCCCAUUUUCAGAAAAAUUGGCAGCCACCUAACCCUAGGUGCGCCGCACCUAGGGUCUUUGCCCACUGCCACCACCGACUCACUUGCUCCACCUACUCCGCCGCUCCCAUGCCACUUGCACCUGCAAAAAGGAGAAAAGAAGCACAGGCACGCAAACAAAAUAAUAGAAAAAUGUAAAAGCCGAAACACAAUGUAAUAGUUUUUUUAACGGAGAAAUAAAAGAAAGGAGAAGUUAAAAAAGGUUGUUGUUUUCUCUAAUCUUUCUAUUUUAUUUUAUUUUAUUUUUUGUUUAUUAAUCUUUUUUUCCAAAAAAAGGUUUUAAACACUUAAAAAAGGAAAUAAAAAAGAGAAAAGGAGGAGUUUUUUUUACCUUUUUGACGACGCCGGAGUGUUCGGAGGGUCGGAGGGACGAUUCGGCGCAAAAAAGGGAAACUUUUCAGCUUCCCGCCGCCGUGUACGGCGGCGCCGGCGAUCGGCGGCCGAUGGCCGGUUUCUGGGCAAUGCCCGGAUUGGAAGCAGAGAGAGGGAGAAAGGGUUUUCGGGGAUUUUUUGCAGAAGGGGAAGAAAAGCUGAAAUUUUGUUGAAAAAUUUUGGCUUAAAUAGCCUUGUGAAACGACGUCGUUUCACCCAGUCCCCAAACGUCCCAAAACGACGCCGUUUUGUGCUCGACCCGAGAACUGACCCGACCCGCAGGGAGGAUCCGCAUGUUUUUGUUGGAAGGGCUAAUUGAAAGUUUAGCCCUUCCAUUUUUUUAUGUUUUUUAAGUAAGUAUUUUCUAUUUUUUAAUUCGGCCUUAACAUUUGUCGCGUUUUCAUUUGGGCCCUCGUCUGAAUGUCGUUGUUUGGAAAAGAGGGGAAAAUUAUUUGUUUAAUCCCUCUCCGUUACUCGCGUAUUCAGUUUGGUCCUUCACCUUUUAUUUACUAGCGAUUUGACCCCAAAUUUCAGCUUAGUUUCUAAUUUAGUCCUCCAUUUGGCAUUUAGGUUAUUUUAUUAUUGAAUUGAUCAUUUUAAUAUUAUUAUUACUAUUAUAUUAUAUCAUUAUUACUAUUAUUAUUAUUUAUUAUUAUUUACUUAUUUAUAAUUUAUAUACACAUGCAUAUAUUUUUAUAAUAUACAUACAUUAUUUUUACAAUAUAUAUAUACGUAUUUUUUUAUAUUCUAUAAUUUAUACACAUAUCUACAUAUACCUAUAUAUAUAUCUUUAAUUUUCAUAAAUUUAUAUAUAUAUACAUGUUUAUAUAUAUUUUAUUAUAUCUUAUAAAAUAUAUAUUUGCAUAUAAUUAUAUUAUAUAUAUUUCUAUAAUUUAAAUACAUAUCCAUAUAUAUAUAUCAAUACACAUCUCAAUUUCACUAAUAUAUAAAUAUACUUACAUGUUUUUUUUAUCUUACAAUUUUUAUAUACAUAUAUAUAUUACUUUUUUAAUCCUAUUCACUUUCUAUAUUUAUUUCCUUAUUUACAUUUUCAUUAUUAUUUAGGAAGAAUGUUUUAGUUCUAUUUAUUUAUAUAUUUGUUAUUUCGCAUGAUAUUAAUUUGUCCUUUUAUUUUACUUUGUUGUUAUUGUUCGUAUUAUCUAUGUUCACAUUAUUGUAUUCGUUAACAUUUUGUUACGCAUGUUAAUAUCCUUUUAAAAAAAUUUAAAAUAAGGCAAUGUUUUGCGUUUAGAAAGUCGAGAAAACGUGCCCUAAUGUGCUGGGUUUCAAUUUUUGUCGUUCGACCAAAUAGCCAAAUAUCCUUUUAGAAAAUUUCAAAAUAAGUCAAUAUUUUGCAUUUGGAUAUUCGAAAACGUGCUCUAAUGUGCUAGGUUUUGAUUUCUCGUUUGACCAAAUAGCCAAAUAUCUUUUUAAAUCUCAAUCCAUGUCAUUCUAGUUUUUUUAAGGAUCGUACUUUAAAUCUCUUUAAAGUUUUUAAUAUUCGACAUUAAGACAUUAACUAAUCAACUAGGUACCAAUUUUUAGGCGUUACGAGGGUGCUAGUCCUUCUUCGUAUGUAACCGACUUUCGAACCCGUUUUUUCUGAAUUUCAUGGACCAAAAUCGUUGUUUUAAUAAAAUCAAAUCGUUUAUUAAAAACAACCACUUUUCAAGGUGAUCCGAUCACACUUUAUCAAAAAGGAUUGGUGGCGACUCUCAAAUUCGAUUUCAUUUUUCAAAACCCAAAUCGACCCCGUUUUCAUCAAAAAAAUGGUGUCAACAAAGUCAACAUCAUCAUACACAUAACAUGUUAUGUUAACAAAGAAUCAACUGUUACUAAGAAACAUGUCAUCAUGACGGAUAGAACUUAAGGGUCAAUGACAAUUUCCGCUUAUUAAAGAGAUUAAAUGAUAAUUUAUUUAGUUUGAGGAUUCAAUUAAGUGAAAUAAUUAAUUAAAAAUUCAUUUUCGGUACAAACCUUUAAGCCAAUUUAAAUUAUUAAUAUAUAAAUAUAUAACACAAUUAAGUAUAACAUAAAAACAAUAAGAAUAGCAGCAUGCAGUAUCAAAAGGUAAUGAAAAAAAGAAAGAACAAAAAUAAGAAUCCAAUCAAUACCUACAUCCCUUUGGAAGUAAGCAAAGGGAAAAGGAAUCUUUGUUGGAACAAAUAACUUUUGUAAUUUUCCUAAGUGAUGCUAGGAGAUUGAGAUUGGAGUAUGUCUUCAUCUUUUCUUUCUUCUUUCAUACUUCUCAAUUUUCUUCAAAAAGAAAAAGGGAAAAAGAACCUUCAAAAAGUAUACUAAAUUCUGUAAAUUUUUAUUUAUAUACAUUGAAUUUAAUUUAACUUUAAAAUCUUCCCUUAUUUAUUCCAUUUUAAAACGUUUUGAUUAUUAAAUCUAGAUUUUUUACCUUUCUUUAAUAUUAUUAAAUUACGUGUUCCCAAAAGUUAUUUUUAAGAAUAAGUUCUUUCUCAAGGAUUACCUCAAUAUUCGUAGGUAUCAAGUUCCUUUGAAGUUUAUUUACUUAUAAGUUUUCAGCUCCACGUUGAAAUUAGGAUAAUUAUUUUUAUAUGAUUACAAAAAUUUGACACUUACAAGUAUUGAGAUUCUUGUACAACAUUCAACUUUUAAAUUGUCAUAAUUUAAUUUUCUAAUGAGGGCAAAUAAUUAAUAAAGGUCCCUUUAUUUUUUAAAUUACCGAAAUGGGCCAGGUCCUGAAUUAAUUACCAAAAUAGACCAUUUCUCUCAAAAACGCGUCCACGUCAGCGCGUUGUCAGGGGAUAAAGCAAAAAAACGCUUCCUCAAGGAAGUGCUUUGUCCACGUGAACAAAAAUCGCUUCCUUGAGGGCGAGCUUUGUGUCCACGUGGACAAAGCAUUUCCUUGAGGAAGUACUUUCCCCGUUUUUAGGAUUUAGGGUUUUUUUUUGCAAUUAGAGUUAGGGUUUUAGGGUUUUUUGAGUUUUUUGAUUUUAGGGUUUUAAAGAAGCGCUUUGUCCACGUGGACACAAAGCGCGCCCUCAAGGAAGUGUUUUUUGCCCACGUGGACAAAGUGCUUCCUUGAGGAAGCGUUUUCCUGCUUUAUCCCCUGACAACGCGCUGACGUGGACGCGUUUUUAGGGGAAAUGGUCCAUUUCGGUAAUUAAUUCAGGACCUGACCCAUUUCGGUAAUUUUAAAAAUAAAGGGGCUUUUAUUGGUUAUUUGCCCUUCUAAUGACUAUGGAUAACAUUUAAUCUGAAACCCAAUACCAUCAAAUGUCGAGUUUGUUAUGAAAAUUCAAAACAAACGUACAAUGUAAUAUGAAAAAAAUUUAACAAAAAAUUAGAUUAACCUUGUCACGCAUAACUGUUGAGGUUUUAUUAAAAACCUAACAUAACUCUAAUUUAAAAGAACCAACACAAAUCCUCUUUUACUUCUACUCUAGUCUAAGUACAUAAGUAUCUCAAAAUUCUAAUUUCCAAGCAUACCGUAAUAAAUGCCCGUUUAUUAAGAUAUGAACAAGGACAUUUUGUCGAGAACACAACAAUAUUGGAAUAUUCUCUCGUGGCUCAAAUUGGUGGUAACAUGGGUUUAGACUUUACUUGACGAUAGAUCCAUUCUUAGUUAAUGCAAGUCGGUUUUUAUCAUGCUAGCCGAAUUGAGAAAGUUACUUUUGUGCCAUCAUUCAUAUAUGCACUAAUUGAAUUAUAGAGAUUUGAGACCCAUAUGUUUCAUCUCUCAUGCGGCGUAGCAAUAAUAACACUACAAGAUAUAACAUUGUUGACCAAUGGACAAACAUCUUAUAAUGGGAAGUUUUUAGUACAAUUUAAGGCAGAUCUUUUAUCCAGCGUUUGGAACAGAUAUUGACCUUAAGUUCAAUUUCCAAAGGCUUCAAAUUAAGUUAAAAUGGUUGAUGACCUUCAAGCAUCUCCCACAGAAUCUACACUCGGUGAUAUUGGCCGUUCUUAAGUUGAUCGAAGGUACAUUGAUGCCAAAAAAGUCUAGUAACUUAGUUUAUAUCAUGUACCUCCUUUAUUAUCAAAUUUCAAUUAGCUAGUAUAUACAAUUAGGGGUCUAACGUCUUAGCAUACCUUUAUAGGGCGCUAUACAAGGCAUGUAGAGUGGGGAAUGAGUAAGUAAAUGAUCACAUUGUGAUUUUACAAUUGCGGGGAUGGUAUUGACUUUCGUGGGUUACAUCUAUACCUUCUCAAGCUUUCAAUUUCCCUUUUGGUAGAAGGUAAAGUCAAGGUGGCAAACAAGCAAGUUCAAGCAGGCUUGGAUCAGGUCGUUUUCAGAUUCAAAUUGUUUCUCAAGCUCAAGCUUUCUUGGGCCAUUUUUUUUUAGGCUCGAGCCCUUUCGAAUUUGAGUUUAUCUAGCAAGCAUCCAAGAUUUGGCGUAUCGAUCCAUCUCCUCCACAAUUGCAUGUAGUGGAAGGGUUGGUUUGACAAGCCUUUCCAACCAUAUGCAUUUCACACUAUUGCCAUCUAAUUCAUUAUUGUCCUUAUUCUUAGACGAGAUGACACCCAAAAAUUGACGGCACUUGUACUUUGUGUUGACGUUAGUAGUUCUGAUUAUUGCAUAUCUAUCGAUAGGAAGGUUGAUUAUUAAAGUGAUAUCCUCUAGCAUUAUAGUCACUUCCUUACAUGGAAAAUAGAUGUGUUUUCGACUUCCAUCUUUCCUACAAGGCGACAAGUAACUUAGGUAUUUUUGUAAAUUUCGUCAUUGUAAAUGUUACAUAUAAAUUAAUCGUUUUCAAGCACUCUUUGGCAGUGCAUCUUCCUCUAGGAAUUUCAAACUAUCCUAAGCACGAACAACUUAACCGCUUCGAUGUUCAAAAUUCAUAAAAAUAAUAUUUAAUUUCAUAAAAUCUUAAAAAUGUUUUCACAAAAAUAACAAAACUAAAAACAAUUUAGUUGGAACUUUUACAUUGAUGGCAUGGUUUGCUAUGUGUUGUUCCUAAAAUCUUAAUAUAAUCAUUUUUCUCCAAAAACACAAAUUUUUUUUUGGGAUAAUUUAAUAGGAUUUUGGUUGAGAAAAAAAAGAAAAAAAAUGGGUGAGUACUUACGAAGUAAAGUAAAGUAUUAUAGUUGUCAACUUUCAUUUAUUAAAUAAGUUUUUUGAGACAACAAAUAAAUAAAGUAUCUGGUCAAAUUUCACAAUCCUAAACUCACAUCUAUAGAAGUCAAGGUCUAUCAACUGCAUUUGUAGUACCUUCCUCUUUAUAGUUACAUACUGUCGUGAUGAUUUGAACUUUAUACCUUUGAAUCUUAAAAAUAUAAAAUAACUUUUGAAAACACACAUAAAUAAUAUUAAAAAAAGUACUAUAUUUGGGUUAAAACUCAAAUAUUGUGUAUAGAAGAAAAAUAAGGCAUUGUUUAGUGGUAGCAUAACUGGUAUGGAUAAAAAACAAUAAUGGCAACUUGAGUAAACCUAGCUAGGCCUCUUUCUUCUCUCUCAUCUAAGCAUGUUUUCAUGAUUGAAACUUGGAAGUGAGGUUAAUUAGAUUCUAUAAUUGUUUAAUAUAGAAUAUAUUGUUAAUAAAAUACUAAGUUAAAUAUUUCACAAAAAUUUUAAAAAGUUUAAAAUUCUCUAUAUUCAUAAGCUUCAACUACAACUUGUUUCUACACUCAAAAAUAAGGAGGAAAAGAAAACAGAAACAAGACAACUGACGACAAAGCUUCUUUUCCAUGAAGUAGAUAUACUGUCGAGAAUGUUAAUGACUUAAUGACAUACUAAGAGUAAUUAGAUGUCAAUUAUGGUGAAAAUUUUAAUGGUGUAAACCCCAUACCAACUUAAAUUUAUUUUUUAAUCCUCAAAUUACUUUGGAUAAUCAACUAUGAGAAUAAAUUUUAAUGAUAUGUGGGGAUCACUGUCUUUUUCUUUUGAUUUUCUCUUACUUGAAAAUUGAAUAAAAAUUCAAAUUUGUAUAUAAUUUUUUUUUUAUUUUAAAACUUUUUAGCAUUUAAAAUUACUUUUGAAAACCUCUAAAGCUCUACCUUUGUUAGUGAUCUUUUAAGGGUAUAUAAAUAUUGUUUUGAUUUUUUACUUUUUAAACUUUUAGCAUUUAAAAUUAUUUUUUAAAGUUAUACCACAUUUUAGUAGUUUCUUAAGCAGUUGGAUCCCUUGGCAGCUAACAAAGUUAGUUUUUUAAGGUUGUAUUUUUAUUAUAGGCUUAAAUUUUAAAUUGGUAUUUAAAUUAUACCAUUUUUUAUUUUAAUAUUUAAAAUUUUUUUAUCACAAAAUAGUGCCUAAACCACGUUUUUUCCCCAAAUUGGUAUUCUUAUUUGUCAAACCGUUAAAUAUAUUUUAAAAGAAGAUUAACCCACAAAUUUGUACGUACAUUAUGUAUUUUUUUUUAUUUUGAUACCUAAAUAUUUUUUUGUCACAAGUGAUACCUAAACUAUUUUUUUCUAAGUUGAUAUUUUUGUUAGUUCAAUUGUUAGUUUAACCAUUAAGUCUACUUAAAAAAAUUAAUUAAAAAUUGACAUGUGGUAAAAAAGACAAAUUGUUAUUUUUUUCUUAUAUGUUUUCUUUUUCUUAUUUCUUUUUUCAGAUCUAGAUCGUUGGUUGAACCAAUCAAACCAUUAGUUCUCGAUUUGAUCAAUUCAUCCGGUUCGAUUAAAUAAAUUAUUAAAAAUUCAUAAAAAUAAAAAUUCAAAAUAGAAAAAAAAUCAGUUCAAUUGGUUUUCUUAGCUUUGUUCAAUCAGUCUAUAUCUAUUCACAGCUUAAUCGCUUCAACCCCUAUCUUCGGACCAAUACCCCGACCAUUUCUAGGUACAGUUUUGGAGACACUGUGAUCAAUGAAAUAACUUUUUCAACCUUGUUAGGUAGAACAAGCGAGCGAUUAUGUUCAAAAAUAAAAUUAAUCGCCAACCUCUCUCAACCUCUGAAAGGAAAAUUUCGAGCAUUGCUAUUAUUGUCAAUUCGAUCAUUGGUUCAAUUCUAAAAAUAUUGAUCUCAAUAUAAAUUAUUAGUUUAUUAUAUAUUAAGUAAAUUUUUAUUAUAAUGAAAUAUUUUAGUUAAAUUUUCAGUAAAAUAUUUGUUAUUGUUACCUGUUAGUGUAAAAAUUAUAAAAAAAUUAUUAUAUAAAAUCAAAUGUGUUAAAUAAUUAUGUUAUAAAAAUAACAUAUUAAAAUUUAAUUGUUUUUAUUCUUAAAAUAAUUAAAUAGAGAAACUUGAUUUUUAAAAGUUUGAAAAAAAAAAAGACUAACAAAGGCUAGUUCUUCAUUGUUUUUGAAAAGUACUUUUGAAAAGUGUUGUGGAAAAGUUCUUUUGAAAAAUUUGAGUAUUUAGUAUUACUGUCAAAAAAGUACUUUUGAAGAAUAAAAUGUCCAUUUUCGACAUGAUAUUAUAAAGUAACAAAUAUGUAUUUAAAUAAUGUUCAAAUUAGUUAAUAUUAUGAUAUUUUAGCAAAAAUAUAAAAAUAAUUUAUUAUAACUUAUUGUUAAUAUUUUAAUAUAUAAUAUUAAUUUUAAAUAUUUAUAAGUAAUUAAUAUUAAUUAUUUAUUAAAUUUAAUUAGAAUAUAUAAACUAUAUUUAAAUAUUUAAAUAUAAUAAUUAAAUAUUUGUAAUUAGAUAUUGACACAAUUGUAUUAUUUUAAAAAUUAUUUUUUUAUUUUUAAUUAAUGCUUUUAACACAUUUGUAUUAUUUUAUUUUAAAAUGUAUUUGAAUAUAUAACUCAUAUUAGAUAUUAACAUAACAUAGAAAACAUAAACCUAACAAAUUAAAAUAUUACAUAUAUUUGGAUUAAAGUUUUAAAAAGGGAUAAUAUUUAUAUAACAAAUAUAAAUACUAAAAAUUUUACAAUAGCAUUUACAAUUUAAAGUGAAUACAUUAAACUAGAAGCUAUAACAUCUCUUGUUAAUUCCAUUUCAAAACCACUUGAAUUGUUUGAUUCACCGUCAUCAUCACCAUCAUCAUCGUCGUUGUCAUCAUCAUCACUUUCUCGACCAUGCGUAUUUUCUGAAUCAAUAAUAUUCUCAUGGUUUAAUCCUAAAACAUGCAUAUAGGAUUGCUAAAUGGAUCUUGUUUUGGGCGGGGAGAGUACAUAGUGCAACAAUAUCACUACAUAAAAAACAAUUAGAAAAAUAAGGAAAUACUUACAAACCUAAUUGUUCAACAACUGUUAAGAAAUGACCCCAACAAGUAUACCGCUACGGAACAAGACCGAAUCUAUUCCCAUGUAUAUCAAGCAAUGCAACUACUAGCACUAGAAGUUGUGUAACCAAAAAAUAGAUCACAGUGGGAGAUCUCUAAGACUGGAUUCUGCAAAAGCAUAGCCAAAGGGACAAACUGUCAAAAUAUGCAGAGACUGAAGGAAAGAAUUAAAGAAAACAAAAUAUAUCCUCACAUCAUAAAACCAAUUAGCUUGAGCCACCAAGCAUCUCCUACACUUUGUUUAUAGCCUCCAACAGCCCAUAUAACAAGAUAUGCAACUUGUGAAAGAAAAACAAGUAGGGAAAAGAUGAUAACAGGCCACAGUAACAAAUAUUUCCUCCUAAAACGAAAUCCUACAAGAAAGUAAUCCCAUGUUACUUUAUAAGAAAUGAAAACAACUUCAAAUAAAACCAUUAACAUACAAUAAUCAGAAAAAGAAAUUAAACUUAUAAAGAAUGCAAGAAGUCAAGAAAUAUCAUAAACCCCUCUUCUAAUUUUCUUAUAGACUUGGGGUUAUGUAACAUUAAAGAUUGCUGAAUUCCACAAUAAGCACUUAGCAAAGUUCAUUAGAUACGUCCAGCAAAAUCUAAAGCACCAACGAGAUAAAAGUCGUAAGAAAAAACAAUGAACAAACAACUGAGACCCUGCUGAAUUAUGGAAAAUUGGAACUACAAAACUACAAAGAUAAAGCAAAACAUUACCAGAAAAUCUUCAUCACUUACCUAUUUUAGGUGCAGUAUACUGAAUGAGAAGGAAAGCGAUCAAAUCAACAAGAGAGAUCAAACUCCACUUGAGCAAUGAAGCUUCAAGAAAGACAGAACAGGUAAAAACUAUUAAUUAAUUGAUGACAGAGCAUAUAUGUAUUUGUAUAUGCAUACACACGACAAAAAAAUGCAGUUUCAAACAGUAACUCAUAAAAGAAAUAAAUGAUCUCAACAUCAGUAGAGAAUUUUUCUUGUUGGGAGUCUUCUAUGUAGAGCAUUCUGUAAGUUAUCCAUUUACAGGUCUCUCAACUUAUAAAAUUUAAAAUUAACACUCUAUGGCACUCUACUAAAACCGUGCCUCGAAGCUCAUUAACAAACCAACCUCCCCCUCACCAAAAAGAAUACCAAUGAAGUUUUCACUUUUCAAGUGACUUUUAACUGCAAAAUCCCUUCUACCCUUCUUACCUUAUCAGGUUCCAAAAUAACAAAGACUGGAUGAUGUCCUGUGUCACAAGCUAAUUUUAAACUAGGUUCAGGUACCCAGAAAUUAGAUUUUUACAGUCUCAAAAACUUGAAACUUACAAUUGAUACUGGUCUAGUUCAAAGAAUGACCCCUUAAAGUGAAUUUUCCAAACAAUAUAUGAAAAGAACAGAAGGUUGCAUAUAAAUGCAAAGGCUAGUGUUCCCAUUAUGAACUCAUGAGCAACAGACAAAAUCCUUACUCUUAGACAACAGUUUGGAUAAUAAUAAAAAGGGUCAUUUAGACUCUCCUCAACUUCCUAAGACACUCCCUUAUGGAAUUCAGACUUGGUUAUUUCUCUAUGGGACAUAGCAUAGCUCAAAUUAUACUGAUAAACACGAGCACUCUAAGACAUAGCUCAAACAAUGAUUUUAAGGAGAAAGAAUUUCUGUAAAAUAAGUCAAUUAAUUUCUAUAAAAUUUCUGUAAAAAUCAAACCAUCAAAAAACAACUAAAAACUACUAAAGCAUAAUGAAUAAUUAAAGAGAAGAAGAAGAAAAGAAACUCACCGGCGGAAGAGGAACAAAGAACCAGAGAAAAGAACUUUGAAAGAGAAAAUGUGAAAAAAAAGGGUAUAGCCAAAGAACCAGAGGAAAGAAUGUUUUUUGGGAGAAGACAAGUUAAAAAUGGAAAUUAUCAGCCAAAAGCACUUUUGGCUGAAGAAAAAUUAAAAUUUUCAACUUUUCCAUCUGCCAAAAAAUACUUUUUUUAAGCUGAAAAUUAUUCUGAAAUAAUGUUUGUUCUUUAUUACUUUUAAGGGAAAAUGAUUUUUCUUGCAAAAGUCUAUCUGAAAAGCAAAGGAGAACGGAGCCUUAGAAGACUAACAAGUCAAGAAAAAAAAAAAGUAAAGAGUUCAAUUUAUAUAGCGGAAGCGAUUGUGCCAAAGAAGCUACAAAAAAAUAACAGAAAGAGCGCUCGCAAAGUGUUUGAGUAAAUACUCUCAAUUCUUAUUCACAAAGAAUAAUGAAAUAAUUCAGGAUUGAGUACAAAUGAGGGGAGGCUCUCUAUUUAUAGUUGAGCUCCCCCAAAACCGACGGUUAAGAUACAAAUACAUCGACGGACGAGAUUAACCAUAUUCCUUUAUUUUAGGAAUUUACAAGAUAUGCCAUAUCAAAUCUAACUAAAUGAAAAAAAAAAGAAAAAUAAAGCAUACGAUAAUUUAGGUCUGGGGCUUGAUUUAGGUUCCAUGUCAUAGUUGCAGUUAAUUAUUUAGGUUAAAAAUUCAUUUUCCAAUAGUGGAUUAUUGAUUGAGUAAGUAACAGUAUUGAGUUGACAUAAUUAAUAAAUUAACUUUAUUUUCAUAAGUUUAAUGGUUCAAAUAAUUUGGAAUCGCAAUAAAAUUACACCACUAAAUUUCUCACGAUAAUUACCACCAAUAUAAUUGUAUCGGAAAAAAAAAUUACUGUUGCAUUUUAUAAAUUGUUUAUGUAUAAUUUUAUAAAGUACUGCUUCACUAAUAAAUAAAUAAAUAAAUAGAAAAUUUAAACUAAAUACAAAUAAUUUUCAUCAGUGAUGUGAGAUAACAUAUGAUUUAUUCACAAUGCACAGAUGCAUUGAAUAUAAAUAUUUAAUAUUUAUAUUUUAUCAAUUCUAUCUAUAAAUAUAAACAUAGUAGAAAUAACUUUUCACCCAAUCCAAAUAUUUGGUUUCAACAAAUUGGUAGUUACUCACUUCUUCAUUGAUAUGAGAGUUCAACCACAUUCAGUUCAUUUUUAUAUGAAUAACUUAAAAAUAUUAUUUAAUUAUAAAAAUAAUUUGGGAGAAAAAUUAUGUAUGAAAAUGACUUGUUUGUUAUAGCAGUAAUUAGUGCUGUUUGACCAAUUGGCGGCACUAUCCCUUUUUUCCCCCUAAUCAUGACCCAAUCAUUACUUUUUUUUUAAAUUCCUCUUGCUCCCGCCAUUGUGUUAAACAACAUCCGUAUGUAUUUUUUGAAAUAACCGUGAAAAGUUUGGUUAUUCAUAGUGGAGAAAAAAAUGAAACAAAAAAUUUAAUGGGUCUUGCCAGUCUGGCAGGGGCAUCAGUCCAAAAUUUUUUUUUUAAAUUUUUGUCAAUUCGUCGGUGUAUCAAGCGGCACCAACGGUAAGUUGCCAAGGAAAUUCUUUUUAAAUGUGUGCCGCCAGUGUGUCAAGUGACACCAUUCAAAAUAUAUAACCCCAUACCGGCCAAAAAAUGGUAUCUGUUGAAUGUUUUGGUUUUUAUUGAAUUUUCGAUAUCCGUUUAAAAGAGAAAGAAAAAAAAAAAGAAAAGGGAAGAUUUGUGUUUAGUAGGAGUAUUAGAAUAUAGGAAGUUGUUAAUUAGUUAUGAGUCUAGUAAGGUUGUUGAGAAGUUUAGACUAGUCAACAAAGUCUAUAAAUACUAUAAGUUGAGAAUUCAGAAGUAAGCAAUUUUGAAUACAAGAGAAAGAAAUUCAUUUUAUCCUCUCGUUUAUUUCUGUUUGGCUAGUUCUUUCAUGGUAUCAAUCGCCAUUUGAUUCUGGAUCUUGUCUAUCAUGGCUUCCGCUGAUUUCGUAACUGGUGAGUCUAGCUCUGCAGUAUUCUCCGGCGAUCGCGUCACGACCGGUCUUCCUCGGCAUGAAGUGGUUAAGCUUGAUGAAGGCACCUAUAUUCAAUGGCGCAAAUAGAUCAAAUUAAUAGUGGAUGGAUAUGGACUUACAGGAUUCUUAGAUGGCACCGUUGUUCCACCGUCGCGGUUUAUGCCUCUGCCCGAUGGUUCGCGUGCUCCAAAUCUGGUAGCACAGGUGUUCCUACAGCAAGAUAGGCUUCUGACUUCAUGGUUGUUAUCAACUGUAAGUACAUCUCUUCAAUCGUCAUUUGAUGAUGCAUCCACGGCGUGUGAUAUGUGGAACAUGGCGAUAAAUUUGUUUGCGACUGACACUGGUGCAUAGCAGUCACGCAUUCGGCAUGAGCUUCAUUCUUUGAAGAAAGGUAACCUUUCCAUUAAAGCUUAUGUUGCUAAAAUUAAAGAUCUGUGUGCUAUGUUAGAUGCCUCUGGUUCUCGUCUCUCUGAUGAAGAGAAGAUUGAGGUGAUACUCGCGGGAUUACUGUCAGAGUUUGAGGCGGUUAUCUCCUCCGCUAGGCUGUCGACAGGUGUUCUGUCGUUACAACGUGUGGUCGAUGCUCUAGUUGAUUGUGAGAGCCGUCAAGCUCAGGUGUUGCAGGAGGUAAGUUUGAAUGCAAAUCUGGUUGAGGAUGCGCCGUCGGUUGAAGGAGGAAAUCGUGGCGGCCGUACGUCUGUUCGUGGCCGUGGCAGGACCUUCCGAUCUCGCAUUCAAUGCCAGAUCUGUAGUCGUUUUGGUCAUGUAGCUCAGAAGUGCUACUAUCGUUAUCAUAAAGAGUCGAAUAAUCAAGGGGAUCCGUCGGGUGUUGAGAGAGCCGCAUUUGGACCAUGUGCGCAAGAAGAAGAUGAGCAGUAUGUGGCUCCUUAUCCCAAAAGCCAAAGAACAAUUUAUGGACAAGGGAACUAUGCAAGUCAAAAUAGGAAUGGUGGUCAAAAUUGGAGUGCUAGCAUGCAGAGUGAAAAAUUAGCACGUAGGCCACAGGUGUCAUAUCCAAAUGAGUAUGGCCGGCCAUAUGGAAACCAUUUUAAGCCAAAUUUGCGUUAGUUUGGACAUGAUAAUGGGCCUGGUUUUAAUGGCGAUGGGAAUAAUGGAAAUGCCUCAUUGAAUUUUAUUGCUGGAAAUGGACGGUGUGGGUUGCAAGGGCCGAAUGUGGUAAAUUCCACUCAUGGGCCGAAUAUUGACCCAAAUGCAAAUGGGGUUCCGUCGUCUAAUUUUGUUCAAGUUGAUCAAAGUGAUCCCGGCUCACCUGAACCGUUUGGCGUUGAUAGAGUUUUACGAUUUACCAAACCGUGUGCUCGGGUUUGUACUGGGUUCGAACCAUGUAUUGGGCUUCCUCGGCUAGGGGACUUACAUGCAUCUGAUUAUUCUGAUCCUUCAGAAUCUGGCUCUCAUGUCAAUACUGCUCAACUUGGGUUUGGUACUAGUAAAGAUGACCCAUACGUUCCCGUGCAAGGUGGCACCACAACUUGGUAUCCUGACUCGGGAGCUAGUCAUCAUGUCUGUCGUGAUGUGUCAGCUUUACGUGAUGUCACGCCAUAUUCAGGUACGUCAUCUCUUUUAAUGGCUGAUGGUACUCCUGCGGUAAUUUCGUCAAUUGGUACUGCUAUUUUACAUACUCAAUAUAAGUCGUUGCGAUUAUCAAAUGUCUUAUGUGUGCCAAGUAUACGGAAAAACCUCUUAUCCAUCUCACAGUUUGCUCGUGAUAAUGGUGUGUUUUUUGAGUUUCAUCCUAACCAUUGUGUUAUUAAGGAUACGAUGACUCGGGAGACAUUGCUGACGGGCCGCAUUCAUGAUGGACUUUAUCACUUUUCUGUGCCAGUGGGUUCUACUCCGUCUACGGUUGCUCCAUUUGUUGCUCAUUCGCAAGUUCUACAUGUAGUUUCAAAUAAUAAUGUGUUUGCUUUAUGGCAUAAUCGUUUAGGCCACCCAUCAACUUCUGUGGUCAAAAUAGUUUUAAAUAAAUGUAAUGUUGCUUCAAGUAAAAAUAGUUUGGAUGGUAUAUGUACUGCAUGUCAAAAAGGCAGGUCACAUAAGUUGCCCUUCUCCCAUUCGACUACUAGCUACCGUCCUUUUGAGUUGGUUGUUUCUGAUCUUUGGGGUCCUGCACCUGUUGCAUGUGGUGAUAAAAGAUAUUAUGUUUCGUUUAUUGAUAUGUGUACUCGGUUUACUUGGGUUUAUCCUUUACGUCAAAAAGCUCAAGCAGUAGAAUGCUUUACUCAGUUUCAAUAGUUAAUUAAGACACAGUUUGGCAAGUCUAUUAAGCAGUUCCAGAGUGAUUGGGGAGGCGAAUACCGUGGUUUUACGUCUGUCUUAGAAUCUCAAGGAAUCAUACAUCGACUAACGUGUCCGUAUACUUCAGAACAAAAUGGAGUGGCUGAGCGUAAGCAUCGCCACAUUGUUGAAGUGGGUAUUACAUUGUUGGCUCACGCAAGUUUUCCUCUGGAAUACUGGGGGUAUGCGUUUUGCUGUGCAGUUCAUCUUAUAAAUCGACUUCCUACUGUUGUACUUCAAGACAGUUCUCCGUUUAAGGCACUAUAUGGACAUGAUCCGACCUAUGAUCAUCUUUGAGUGUUUGGCUGCUGUUGUUAUCCUUACUUACGUCCGUUUGUAAGGAAUAAAUUGGACUUUCGGUCUCAGCCGUCUACAUUGUUGGGAUACAGUCCUCGUCACAAGGGAUAUCAAUGUUUUUUACCAGAUGGUAAGGUUAUAAUAUCAAGGCAUGUGGUAUUUGAUGAACAGAGAUUUCUGUUUGCUGAGACUAUUCCAGACAAGUCUAUGUUGACGACCACUCAGACUAGUGCGACUGCUGUUCCUCUCAUGUGGCCGUCUUAUUCCUCAACUCUUGAGCCUUGCAUGAUGACACAGUCUUUACAAGGGUUGCAAUCUCCGUCUGCUGAUCCUGCAUUAGGUGUUAAUUUAAAGCAGUCUCAGUCUCGUGAUUCUUCAGCUGAUGUCGGGACUGGGUCGGGUAAUCUCCCAGUUCAUGGUUCGUCAGCUAAUGAUGGGACUGAAUUGAGUGAUCCUCUAGCAGUGCAUGGCUCGGGAUCAUCAAGUGAUAAUUCUCAUUCUACUAUGAGAAUGUCUGCAAGUGUUUCAUCGGCAUUUGAUAGUCAGAUUAGUAGGCCACCUAUGGGUAAUACUCACCCAAUGGUCACUCGAGCUAAAGCGGGGGUUUACAAGCCUAAGGUUUUAAAUGUUGAAGCUGUUGAACCGACUACGAUUGAAGAAGCUCUGGCUAUUGUUGAGUGGCGCGAUGCUGCGCAAGCUGAGUAUGAUGCUCUUAUGCGUAAUUCCACAUGGGAGCUUGUUCCCACUCCGUCUAAUCGUAAGAUCAUUGGGUGCAAAUGGUUGUUCAGAAUCAAGAAGAAUUCUGAUGGUACUAUUGCUCGACAUAAGGCUCAUUUAGUCGCGAAAGGAUGCUCCCAAGUUCCAGGUUGUGACUUUAAGGAAACGUUUAGUCCAGUGGUCAAACCGGCUACUAUCAGAGUUAUUUUCUCUAUUGCUGUGUCUAAGGGGUGGUUGCUUCGGCAAGUUGAUGUGAAUAAUACGUUUCUAAAUGGCGAUCUGGACACUGAAGUUUUUAUGCAUCAACCUCCUGGUUAUGUUCAAUAUGACUCACAUGGUAGACCUUUGGUGUGUCGUCUGAAGAAAGCGUUGUAUGGUCUUCGUCAGGCUCCUCGUGCCUGGUUUGAAAAGUUAAAAGGAUUUCUACUCUCUGUGGGGUUUGUGGUAUCAAAGUCUGAUGCUUCUUUGUUUGUUCGAGUGGUAUCAGCUUCAACAUUGUAUGUUCUGGUAUACGUUGAUGAUAUCAUUAUUACUGGUGAUGUGCCUUCUGUUAUAGAGUGGUUUGUUAAGUUGCUGAAUAAUAAGUUCUCACUUAAGGACAUGGGUGAUCUCCAUUAUUUUCUUGGGAUAGAGGUUACUCGUUCUUCCUCCGGUUGUCUUCAUCUAUGUCAGAAGAAGUAUAUUCAUGAUAUUCUCAUAAGGUGCUCGAUGGAAAAUGCGAAGAGUGUUCACACUCCGAUGAUUAGUUCCUCUAUCUUAACUAGAGAUGGUGGGGAACGUUUGGAGGAUCCAACUGAAUAUAGGAGUCUUGUAGGAGCAUUACAGUAUGUUACUCUUACGCGGCCUGAUGUUGCGUAUGCUGUAAAUCGAAUAUGUCAGUUUAUGCAUUGUCCCACUUCCAUACAUAUGACCGCUCUGAAGCGGAUUUUGAGGUAUCUAGGUGGAACGAUUGAUUUUGGGAUUGUAUUUCGUCCGUCUACCUGUUUGUCAUUAGUUGGAUAUGCUGAUGCAAACUGGGGUUUAGAUUUUGAUGACCGGAGAUCUACUACUGGAUACUGUGUGUAUUUUGGACAUUCUCUUGUCUCGUGGUGUACGAAAAAACAGCAGGUUGUUGCUCGGUCUACUGCUGAGGCAGAGUACCGAAGUCUUGCUGCAGUUACUAGUGAGGUUACGUGGCUUUUAUCGUUACUUCAAAAGUUGCAUGUUCAGUCUACUAGCAUUCCUGAUAUUUGGUGUGAUAGUUCUGGGGCGGUUGCAGUUGCUGCUAAUCCUGUUCUUCAUUCCAAGUUUAAGCACGUUGAGUUAGAUUUAUUUUUCGUUCGUGAAAAAGUAGCUAAUGGUAUUAUUGCUGUUGGCGAGGUUCCAGCUUGUGAUCAAGUUGCUGAUGUUCUUACUAAACCGCUUUCACUUUCGAAUUUUACUCGAUUUCAGAGUUUUCUACAGGUGUUACCUGUGGAGAAGAUGGAUGAAUAUUAGAAUAUAGGAAGUUGUUAAUUAGUUAUGAGUCUGGUAAGGUUGUUGAGAAGUUUAGACUAGUCAACAAAGUCUAUAAAUACUGUAAGUUGAGAAUUCAGAAGUAAGCAAUUUUGAAUACAAGAGAAAGAAAUUCAUUUUAUCCUCUCGUUUAUUUCUGUUUGGCUAGUUCUUUCAAGGAGGGUAGAAAACAAUGAAAAAGAAGAAAGAUUUGUAUUUUUAAUUUUAAAAAUCAAGCUCGUGUUUAUAAGGUUAGUUUCUAGUUAUUUUGUAUGAAAUUAUUAUUUUUUAAUAGGAGCUACUAUUUUUUUUCAUUUUUAAUUUAUUUUACAGAUAUUGUAUUGAAAAUGAAUAACCAACUCUUCAUAUACGUUCAAUUCAAGAUUAUUUUACAAAUACUGGAUGGUUAUAUUUUUUAAUCUUGCCAACAAAUGGGAAUGAGGUUUAGUAAGAUGCAAAAGUUGAAGAUAUGAAACAAAAUAUAUUAGUGCAAAAAUAACUCGACAUUGUGGGAAGAGGAUGUUCAGACUAUUUUACAAAUUUAUAGUUUCGUCAAAUCAUAUCAAAUUUAUCGAGAUGAAACUUGUAGAUGAUGAAGAUGUUAAAACAAUGGUUGCAUUUUGUUACUCGACAGGGAACGUAAACGCUGAACCAAUAUUUUAAUCAUUUAAUUUUAUUAUUUUAAUCAAAAUUUUAUUAAAUUUUUAUAUAAAUUUUAAUAAUAUAUGUUUUACAUAAUUUUCUUAAUUAAUUAUUAUAUUUAUUUUUGUGGGAUUACAUAAAAAAUAGUAUAUUAAAUCUAAAAAAAUAAUCUUAAAACACUUCCAUAUCUUUUUCUCGUUUUCACUCCAUUCUUCUAACUCGCGUUUCUUCUACUACAAAGCCUUCUCCACCACGACCACCACCAUAUCCACUUUCGCCUCAACUUUUUCUAUCCCGAGGUAGGGUCCCACCGUCGAAUAGAAAUCUCGUCUUCCUCAAGUCUCUUUCUCAUAAAUACCUCUUCUUCUUCACCCAACUACCCCCUCCUCUUCUCCUCCUUUAACUUCCCUGUAAGAACUCACUCAAAACCACAUUAAACCAACCAACUAUUCCUUAUUUCUUCUUCUCUUUCAUUUUUUUUUCAAAACCCACAUUUUUAUUCUCAAGAAAAAAAAGAACAGAGAAAAGGGAAACUGAGCUGCUUUUAAUUGAUCAUGAACAAUUUUCUUCUCUUUACUCUCUUCUUCCUAUUCUGAAACCUAAACCCUAUCAUUUCACUUUCCCCUAACGGUCUUUCUCUCCUCUCUUUAAAAUCAGCCGUCGACCUACCCGCCGGUCACGACUCACCUUUCACCGACUGGAACAAAAACGACGCCACACCCUGCCGUUAGUCUGACAUUUCCUGCAUAAACAUUACAGGCUUCCCCGACCCACGUGUUGUCGGGAUCGCCGUUUCCGGUAAGAAUCUCAGGGGUUAUAUUCCGUCAGAGCUUGGAACAUUAAUUUACCUCCGAAGUUUGAAUCUUCACAAUAAUAACUUUUACGGUUCCAUACUGGGCCAGCUGUUCAACGAAACGUUGCUUCACAGCUUGUUUUUGUACGGUAACGAUCUUUCCGGUUCGUUGCCUCCAUUGAUUUGCAAUCUUCCGAUGUUACAAAACCUUGACCUCUCCAACAACUCGCUGUCGGGUUCUUUGCCUGAGAAUCUUAAGAAUUGCAAACAGUUACAGAGGUUGAUCCUAGCUCAAAACAAGUUCUCGGGUCAAAUUCCCGGUGGGAUUUGGCCAAAAACGAAAAACUUAGUUCAGCUCGAUCUUUCCUCCAAUAAAUUUAAUGGGUCGAUUCCCAUACCAUCAGGGAGUUAAAUUCAUUGUCGACGACUCUCAAUUUGUCUUACAAUCACUUGUCUGGUAAGCUCUCGAAAACAUUAGGUGACUUGCCGGUUACUGUCAGCUUUGAUCUCAGAAACAAUAAUUUAAGCAGUGAAAUACCAAAAACUGGAUCGUUUGCUAACCAGGGACUAACGACAUUUCUAAACAAUCCUCUUUUAUAUGGGUUUCCUCUUCAAAAACCCUGUACAAACUCCAACAUUAGUCUUUCAGGAACUCAAAGCUCGAGCCGUAAUAAUUUAAGCGAAACUCAAAAAAAAGGUCUUGGACCUGGACUAAUUUUGUUAAUCUCAGCAGCCGAUGCCGCUGGACUGGAUUUCUUAAGGUUGAUUAUAGCCUACAUUUACUGGAAAAGGAAAGAUUCGUCAAAUGGUUGUAGCUGCACUGGGAAAUGCAAAUUUGGUUAAAGUGAUAGAAGAAAACUUUGUUCAUGUGCUUGUAUCAAUGGGUUUCAAAAUGAAGAUUCAGAAAACGAAGAGCAUGAGAAAGGGGAGAGAUCGGCGAAGGGAGAAGGAGAGUUGGUGGCCAUUGAUAAAUGGUUCAACAUUGAACUGGACGAGCUGCUUAGAGCGUCAACUUAUGUGUUGGGAAAGAGUGGGCUUGGCAUAGUUUACAAGAUGGUCCUUGGAAAUGGGGUCCCUGUAGCUGUACGUCGAUUGGGUGAGGGUGGAUUAGAUCAGCAGAGGUACAGGGAGUUUGCUGCUGAAGUUUAAGCCAUUGGGAAGGUUAAGCAUCCCAAUGUUGUGAAGUUGAGAGAUUAUUAUUGGGCUCUUGAUGAAAAGCUUCUUAUUAGUGAUUGAAUCUCCAAUGGCAAUUUGACCAAUGGCAUGAAAGGUUAGCUUCUCUUUUCCCUCUUCUUCCACCCAACUCUACUAUUUCCUUAUUCUCCAUACUUUUUUUUAUUGUUUUUUCAAAAAUCUGUCUUCCUAUCCUUCAAAAACAUCAUCCAAUCAAUCACAAUUUGAUUUAAGUUUUUAUCAUUAUUUAAUACAGUUUGCGUUCUUUUUUUAUUAUAUAUUUUUCUAUGAUGUUGAAGGUUCAACCCUGUUCAUUCCUAACAUUAGUUGAUACAUUUGCUUCUUUUAAUCGUGUGUUUGUUAUGUUAAUAAAAUUUAGUAUUCCUUCCCUUUCUCUUUAUUUGGUAGAUUUAAAAGCAUAAAUAAUGGCAAUAAUAAUAAUAAUAAUAAUAAUAAUAAUAAUAAUAAUAAUAAUCUAACGUUGGUCAUGCUUAAUGAUGAUGAUCUAGAAAUGAAGUGGUCCAAAGUGGGCGACCCCUUAUGAGUGUAAUUACUCACCCACGGGGACUCAUUAGGCCUGCCAGUGUAGUCCCUUUCCGUUACAAUUAUACUCUCAUAGUGCGGAAACUUUUGUUAAAGAUCUUCACUUUCCGAUCUAUUAUAAAGAUGUUGUAUUUUAAAAAUAUAUAUUUAGAAUAAAUAUUAUUUUUAAAAAGAUAAAAAUGCAUGCAUAAUAAAAGAUCUUUUGAAGAAGAAACCACCCAAAGCGGGAAUGGUUUAGUAUAAAUUUAGUGGUAAAUUACAGUAGAAAAUCUAGUAAUUUUUGCUUCUCUCUUAUUUGUUAGUGAGUUUGACAGAUUUGUAGGUUGGUACGGUUGCUUUUAAAUGAGUUGUAUACCAAAUGGUAGGUCCCUCAACAGUCACCUUUGGCCUUGGAUGAUAUGGUUAAAAAAAGAAGUCAAUUUAGUAUUAUCUUUUUAAGUUACCAUACCACACAUGUUACGUAGAAGAAAAAGAGUUUAGAAACUCAUUUGAUAUAUCUAUAAAUACACGUAUGAUUACCCAUUUUCAUUUUUUUCCAAAUUAUGUAGUUUUAUUAUGUCGCUAAUAAAAAAAUUUCAAGCAGAAAUGGUCAGCCACCAACAAACCUUACAUGGUCAACAAGGCUGAAAAUCACAAAGAGAUCCGCUCGUGGCUUGGCCUACCUUCACGAAUGCAGUUCCAGGAAAUUCGUUCACGGCAACGUUAAACCCUCCAACAUCCUCAUUGACCAUUAAUUCCAUCCCUACAUUUUUUAUUUUAGCCUCAACAAACUCAUCACUACCGGCAGUGAUCCCUCUUCCUGCGGUGGCUUCAUUGGCGGACUUCCUCACAAAUCGAUCCAAACCGAACGAACCAACAACUACCGAUCGUCGGAGGCUCGAGCCAUCGGUGGUCGACCCACCCAAAAAUGGGAUGUCUAUUCAUUUGGAGUGGUCUUACUUGAACUACUCAUCAGGAAGUCCCCUGAGCUAUCUUCGACCACAUCCAGUUCUAUGGAAAUUCCAGACCUGGUGAGGUGGGUAAGGAAAGGACUCGAAGAAGAAAACCCCUUGUCGGAUAUGGCAGAUUCGAUGUUAUUACAAGAAGUACAUGCCAAGAAGGAAAUGUUAGCUUUUUUCAUGUAGCGCUUGCAUGCAUUGAAGCAGACCCUGAGAUUGGACCCAGGAUGAAAACUGUUUCCGAGAAUCUUGAAAGAAUUGGAACAUAAAUUAACAGCAUAUAUAUAUCCUUGUUUUGUCUUUUGUCUGUGAAAUAACAUGGUAUACUGAUUUUUGUUAGGGGUGGAAGAUUAACUAUAUUCAUUCCUCUAAAUGGUUUUCCAGAUUAGGCCCAAAACUUUCUUGAAAAUUCAACUGUCCCGGGAGAGCCAAUAGGAGACAAUGUGUCCUUUUUUGGCUACAAUUUUUUUUUUUGUAAUUUUAAAUUUCUGUUUAUAGUGGGAUGUGAUUGUAAUAAUUUCUUUCUUUUCUAACAAUUCAAGGCCACAGUGCUAAGGCAUUAAUUCUAUCUAUAUAGGGUUAAAUGCGCAUUUCAUGGGUUAAGUAUAUCAUUUUUGUUAGAUAUUAUUUUUCUGACAUUAAGUUUGACCCUUUUACUUGACAUUGUUGAUCAUAUGGCAAGUGUAUCCUAUAAGGCCAUGGAAUUUGAGAAGAAAAAUCUAGUACUCAGAUUUUAUGUUUUUAGGAAAACUAGUACUCGGAUUUUAUGGUUUUAGGACAAUAAAUAAACCAUGAGGGAACUCGCCGGUUAGUUGGCAACUUCUAACUCUUAAUAGAAAAAGUAAAUAUAGAUGAAAGUUGAAACUCAAUCAUUCUAGACUUGUAAUGAAAUUAAGAGUAUAGUCUUAUUAGAAAACUCAUUAAUCUAACUUAACAAUUAUAAUCGACAUUCAAUACUUAUACUCCAUAAAUGAAUCACUAACAAAGUAGAAAACUACCCUUAACUACUUAACUAACAAUGAAUUGCUCUUAAUUAAUUCAAGUUACUUAGUUACUUCUAAUAUUCCCCCUCCAGACUCAAUAGCAAUCACAUUCAUCUUAGCAUGAAAAAAAAAAAAAAAAAACCUAUGGUUAACGGUAUGGUCUACUUGAUCAUUCCCAAGUACAUAGUUGACCUGAAGUUGUUGCUGAGCACCUUGUCACGCACAAAAUGUAAGUCAAGCUCAACAUGCUUAACAUGAGCAUGUAGCACUGGAUUUGCUGCCAAGGACACCGUGCUGGAAUUAUCACACCAAAUUACUAGUAUGCCUUUAAUCUUCAUACAUAUUUCAUCCAGCGGAGAACGAAAUCAUGUCAAUUCGCAUGUUACAUUAGCUACACUUCUAUACUCAGCUUUUGAGGUGGCCAACACUAAUUUUUGUUGGGAUAUGGCGUUGUAUGUGUUGGUAUAACAAAAUCAAAGUUGAAUUCUUCAGUCUUUGGUGAUCCCUACAAUACAAUACAAUGGGAUCUGAAAUUAUUCAAAGCAAAGCAAAGAUAAGAAAAAAAACUGUCAAGUUGAUUUAGAUUCAGGGUUUCUUUUAUAUACUGAACUUAGCAUACAAGUUUGGAACGAGGUUUAUGUCAGUAAAGCAAAGUUAAAACAAAUCCAAAAAAGAGGAAUGAUGAAACCACCCCCACAACACCUUUAUUUCUUUUCCUGCAACGGCCAUGAAAAUAAUAGUUCAGUAAGAAAGGUAUCAAUCAUACAAAGAUAAUGGCACAGUAUAAAGGCCAAAUUAGGAGAUCAUUGAUUAUGGAUGGACCCAAGCUAGCAAGCAGUGAUAUUUCUUUACUUUUAAGAGUAAUUAGCUCCCCACUCCCUUCCCCUUAUUUUGGUUGAUUUAAUUCAAGCAAAAAAGAAGAAGCUAAAACCCCAUAUUCCUAUCCUUUCUCUCUCAAUUUUCUUCUCUUUCUUUCUUGGCUUGCAUUGAAGAAAAACAGGUUGGUUAAAGUGCCGCCUCAUGAAUGUGUAGUAAACAAAGUCAUUGUCACAAAAAGACAUGGGCAAUUGCUCUAGAGUUUGCAAGAACAAAGAUGCUAUAGACAUGAAUCUUAGUGCCCAAAUUCACUCCUCCAUUAAGAAGAACAUUUCCAGAAAGGAGCACUCCAUUGUUGAACUCGGUACUAGACGUCAGCCAUCAUCAAUAGAAUAAGAAAUCAGUUUUUGAGACUUGAGUUUGUUCUCUAACCUGGCUUUCUUAACCUUUCUUUUCUUUUCUUUUUUUGUCAUCAAUGGAUUAUUACAUUAUGCAGAUCUUUAACCUUUAUUGUUGCCUGGAAACUAAUUUACUCAAGUUUUUAACAUAUCUAACUGAAGUGUGCCUAUCAUUUCUAUGCAAGUAACACAGAAGAGAAGUUUUUUUAUUCCAUCCAAUGGUUAGAAUCUGACAGUGAAGAUUUCUUCAGUGUGAAUGGUGGUGAGAUUUUCCCCAAUUUUGUUGAGACAAACUAUUUUCAUUUCCCCAUAAUAAUAGCAUUGCUAAGUUUCUUAAAUUCAAAAUCACAUCGUUGCUUUUGACAAAGCUUAGUUUCAUCCAGAUUUUACUUUUUCUUGCGGAAAUAGCCCUAAAAACCUGAAAACCUGGAAGGAAAAUUCUCUCACAGAUACAAAGAAAUAACUAAUUGAGUUAUUUAGAGAGAGCUCUAAUGAUUAUGAUGAUGAUGAUGCUGUGAAUAAUUACCCAAAUAUGAAAGAUGAGUUGGAAGACAAAGCUGUAAUGUUGAACAAGCUUCUAAAGUCAAGAAGCAAAAGUCCACAUGAAUCCAUCUCCAACUCCAUUGGCAGCAAUAAAGCAAGAUGCUUCCUUGGGGAAGAAAAACCAGCCCACGAAAUAUGAGCUUUAAUGAGAUAAAGAAAGGGCUAAUAAACCCUCACAAUAACUGAUAUUUAUUCUGUAUAAAUCUCUUGUAAACAAUCUACAAUCUACAAUCUCAUAAUUGAAAAUAGUUCAACUCUAGUUUUUUCUUUUUACUAGUGUGAGUGUGAAAUUUAGAAAAAUUAGCAAAAUGGCACAAAACACAUUAUUAACAAAUAACAUCCAUGUACAUACCAUUAAAAUUUAACCAUAACAAAUACAUAAGUGUUAAACAAUGGUAUAAAGAUUGUUAAGAUGGUUAGUUUGUUAUAAAAUCUGUUAAGUAGUUGGUUAGGAGCUAUUAUUCCCAUAUGUGUAUAUAAACCUCAUCAAUGUGUUUAUUCAAAGAUAAGGAAUAAAGACUAAAGAAUUAUACUAUACUUUAUCUUUCUAUUCAUACAUAUUUUGCGUAGUACCUUACAUAGUAUUAGUCGCCUAGUCCUGGUACGUACUUCCGCUUUCGCAUUAUGGCACCAUCAACCGAUUCUAACUCUGCUGAUCCUAUGAGUCUAUCGUUUUCCAGUGCACUCCUGGUUCAAUCUUUCCCUCGUCAUGACACGGUGAAGCUAGAGGAAGAAAAUUUUGUCCAAUGGCAACAACAUGUCCUGUUGAUAAUAGAUGGAUAUGAGCUACAAGGAUCCUUGGAGGGUGUGUUGUUUGCCCCACCUAGGCUCGUCGCAUCUCCAGAAGGUGCACUUACUCUAAAUCCAGAUGCAUCUGUGUUUAAUCAACAAGAUAAGUUGUUAGCUUAUUGGCUCUUUUCUACAAAUAGUUCGUCGCUUCUAUCAUACUUUACAUCUGCUAAAUUUGUAUGCAAAAUAUAGAGCACCGCAAAUCGUCUUUUUGUUACUUUAAUUAGUGCGAAAGUUUCUCAUAUUAAACAUGAUCUUCACUCUACAAAGAAGGAUGAGUUAACUGUAAAAUAGUAUAUUGCGAAAAUAAAAAAUAUUUGUGCGUUACUUGCAGCUUCUGGAUUGGCAGUGUCAGAAGCCGAAAAGGUAAAAGUUAUUUUGGCUGGCCUCUCGUCAAAUUUUGACGUAGUGUUGACCUUGGCUUAGUUUUCGAUGGAGUCUCUUCUUUUUCAGCGAUUAGUUGACGUUCUUAUGGAUUUUGAAAGUCGACAAAUGCGAGUGACGUGUGAGGUUCCGAUGCAUGCUCAUCUAGUUGAAACGCCUAUGGUUGUUGCGGUAGUCGAUUCAGUUUCACGCGAUGUACAUGGAGGACGUGCUACAGUAGGUUCGCAAGGGCGUGGUUUUCGAUCACAAAUGCAGUGUCAAAUCUGUAACAAAUUCGGUCAUGUGGCGCAGUGCUGCUUCUAUCGUUUCAAUUGCUCCUACGACGGCCUGAAUGCUUCCACCAGGACGCGGUUUUCUUCUUCUACGCAUAAUAGACAAGGGCUACAAGGUUCUGGUUCGUUGGAUAGUUCUGGAUCUGGUGGUGAUUUUUUGGGAGGCUAGAUACCAUUUCAGAAUCGAGAUGUUUAUCCCCCGUAAGCUAGGGAUUUUUACCCUAAUGAAGUUGGUUAUGGGAUUGGAUUUGCUGGUGGAUCAAAUGGUGCUUGGUUUGGGUCUAUUGGUGGCCCAUCUGAAUUUUAUGGUAGGCGUGAUAUGCAGAUAGAUGUGGGGCAUGCUUUGGGCCAACGAUAUGCACAGCGUGUUGGGCCUUCUGCUGUAGCACACAGGCCGAGUUAUGCAGGCCAAUUUUGUGGGCAGCAUACUGGGCAGUGUUUUGGGCCGAAUGCAGGCCAGUCUCUUGGGUUUGUUAGUGAGAAAAAUAAUGGGUAACAUUUUGGGCCAAAUGUAGGCCAGUCUCUUGGGCCUGUUAAUGGGCAGAAUAAAAGGCUGAAUGGUGGACAGGUCAAUGUUAGUCAAAACUUUGGACUCAGUUCACUUGGGCCUAAUGCUAAUUAUGUUAAUCUUGAAGGCUCUAUGCGAAAUAAUGCUUUUGAAGUUCCAUGGCGGACUAAACUAUGAGCCCGUGUAUUUGAUUUUGAUUCCUCACAGUGUGUUGGGCUACCCCGAAUUCAUGAAUUUUAUGUGUCUAAUUUUUCGGAUGCCACACAAUAUGAUUCCAAAUUUGAUAAUACUAACUCAUGUGUUCCUGCGCCGAUAGGAAUCUUAUUAUGGUAUCCAGAUUCAGAGGCCACUCAUAAUGUGUGUCAGAAUGCGUCUAAUUUAAAUGCCUCCACUCCAUAUAUAGGUAUUUCUUCUCUUUUAAUGGGAAAUUGGGCUCCCACUAAAAUUUCUUCUAUUGGGAAUACUAUUCUACCAACAAAAAAGAAGUUAUUACAUCUUUCUAAUGUUUUGUGCUUGCUAAGUAUCCGAAAAAAUCUUAUGUCUGUUUCUCAAUUUGCUAUUAACAACAAUGUAUUUUUUGAAUUUCACCCCUCUUAUUGUGUUUUUAAGGACAUCCAGACAUAGGAAAUUUUACUGCGGGGCUAAGUUCGUGAUGAUCUCUAUCAAUUUUCGACCGGUUCGUCUGUUCUUUCUGAUUCAAUUCCCUCUAUUAACAACACUGAGAUCCAAGAUUAUCGAUUGAAUGAUGAUGAUGUCUUUUCACUGUGGCAUAAAAGGCUUGGUCACCCUUCUUCUGUGAUUGUUAAACUUGUACUUUACAAGUGUCAAAUUGUUUCAAAUAAAAAAUGUUUUGAUAAUGUUUGUGUUGCUUGUCAGAAAGGGAAAUCAAAUAAGUUUCCCUUUCACACUCUACCACUGAAUAUAUUGAAUUGUUUGAAUUGGUUGUCUCUGAUUUGUGGGGACCAACUUCUGUUGACUGUGGCGGUAAUCUGUAUUAUGUUUCAUUUAUUGACAUGUGUAAUCGUUUUACCUGGGUUUAUCUGAUUAAACAUAAAUCUCAAGCUUGCCAUGGGAAGACUAUUAAGAAAUUUCAAAGUGAUUGAGGCAGUGAGUUUCGUACUUUUGCUUCAGUUAUAGCUAGCCAUGGGAUUCUUCAUCGUCUUUCCUGCCCUCAUACUUCAGAACAAAAUAGUGUUGUUGAACGCAAACACAGGCACAUUGUGGAAAAUAGUCUUACACUUUUGGCCCAGGCUAAUCUACCUAUAAAUUAUUGGGGCUAUGCAUUUUACAGUGCUGUGCAUCUUAUUAAUCGAUUACGCACUUCAGUCUUGAAAGGUUAGUGUCUGUAUCAGAAUCUUUAUGGUCGUGAGCUUAAGUAUGAUCACUUAAGGGUGUUUGGUUGUUACACAAACUGGAUUUUCGCUUAUAGCCAUAUACGUUUCUGGGGUAUAGCUCUCAGUAUAAGGGUUAUCAUUGUCUCAAACCAGAGGGUAAGGUUGUUAUUUCUCGUCAUGUUGUGUUUGAUGAAUGUCGAUUUCUGUUUCAUUCAUUUGCACUGCCCACUAUUCAGUUGUCUUCUCAUUCUCCCACAUAUAUUCCUGUUGUUCAGACUUCUUCUGCCCAGUUUACUGCAAAACCCAGUAGUGCCACUGUCCAGUCAUCGAUUAUACCUCUGCCUCCUGAUCUAGGUUGCAAUUUUGACCGAUCUGUUAUGGUUGAGUUACCAGAUAUGUGUCAUCCCAGUGAGUUCAUCUUAGUUGGUUCACAGGCUAAAUGUGGGAGUAAUAUAAGGAGCAUUGUCUUUCGAGUUCGUCUAUGGAAGCUAGUCCGAUUGGUCAAUCCAGUAUGUCUCCAAAUAUUCAUUCUCUUCUUGCAGAAAAUACUCAUGCUAUGGUUACUCGGUCUAAUACACAAAUUUUUAAGCCUAAAGCUUUUUCAGUCGACGUUGUAGAUUUUGAGCUUCGAUCUGUUGAGGAAGCUCUUGCUCAUACGGAUUGGAAAUUCGCAGUUCAAGUUGAAUUUGAUGCUUUAAUGGCCAACUCUACCUAAGAGAUGGUUUCUCUACCUCCUGGUCGGAAAGCAAUUGGAUGCAAAUGGCUUUUCAAAAUUAGAAAGAAUCCUAAUAGGUCGAUUAGUCAUCAAAAACCAUGGUUGCUUUCAAAGGGGUGCUCUCAGGUUCGUGGCUGUGACUUCAAAGAAACGUUUAGCCCAGUGGUCAAACCUGCUACUAUUCAAACCAUUUUUUCUGUCUCUAUGACUAAUGGUUGGAAACUUCGUCAAGUCGAUGUAAACAGUGCCUUUUUAAAUGAAGACCUGACUGAUGAAGUGUUCAUGCAGCAGCCUCCAGGAUAUGUUCAAUAUGGUCCAAAUGGUGAGCCAUUGGUGUGCCAUCUGACAAAGGCUUUAUACGGAUUACAGAAAGCUCCCCGUGCUUGGAUUGAAACAUUGAAACAAUUUAUUAUCUCUGCUGGGUUUGUCUUGUCUAAAGCUGAUGCCUUUGUAAUAGCCCAAUUUAGACCCUAGUCGGAACAAUAGUUUUGGGACCACAAAUUUGAGUUAUAAAAAUAUUUUAAUAUUAUUUUUGGUGUCUACAACAUGUUAAUUUAUAUGUUUGAAAAUUUCGUGUGAAAAUUUUAUCGUUUGUGUGCUCGAUUUUAUAAAAAGACUUAAUCGUGUAAAAUGCAAAAGUGGCUAGCUAUUUGUUAAAGUGCUAUAUUGCUAUGGCUUUUAUAAUAUGGGGCCCUUAUGUUGAUAUUAUACCAUUGAAAUUAUGAGUGGACUUUUAUGGACAUGGUUAGUUAAUUAUUAAAGUAAUUUCAAUAAGGUUAAAAUGGUAAAUGGUUUAUUAAUAUGUAUUAAAUAAAAAAAAAACAUGAAUUUAGUCUUUAGUUCAUUUUUAUUUCACCAAAAUAAGAAAAGAAAAAGGGGUUUUAAAGCUUUUGUACAUUCGGUCUUUGAAGGUUUUGAUUGAGGUAUGUUUUUUAUUCAGUUUUUGAUAAUUUUUAUGUUUUUGAGAUUGUUGCUUUGAACUCUAUCUAGCCCAUGUCACAAUUUUUGAAAUUUUUAGUGAUUUUGAGAUAUUCCAUGGAUGAAUCCAUGAGUUUGUGUUGAUAGUUGGUGAAAAAUGAAAGAUAUUGUUGGGUUUAUAUGUUUUGUAUUGUGAUUUUUGAUGAAUUUGCUUAGUAUGGACUAAUUUGUGAAAAUGAGAAAUUGAAGGGUUAAAAUGUGAAUAAAUGAAAGAUAUGGGCUUAUAUGAAUUAUAUGAAUAUUCAGCCAAGCAUGAGAAAUAUGAAAUUUUAUGUAUUUUGUGAUUUUAUGAAAUAUGGACUAAAAUGUCAAAAAUGUGAAUUUUAGGGGCUAAAGUGAAAAACACCCUAAUUAUGUGUUUGUGGUUUAAAUUGAAUGAAAUGUGUUAUUAAAUAGCCAAUUUUGAAUUUAUAUAGAUCAAGAACAAAAGAAAACGGAAUUAGAUAUGGAGAAGUCGAAAGUGGUUGAGUAGUCGAUUCCAUCUGUUCGUUUCCGUACGAAGUAAGUUCGUAAGUAAAUAAAUGUCAUUAAAUUUGAAUGUAUAUGUAUUAUAAAUGUUGAAUUUAUUUUUAAUGAAUAUAUGUGUAAAUGUCAAAUUGUUUUAAGCAUGGGGGAAUUGUUUACGAGCUUGAUUCGAUUGAAUUACGACAUCCGAAAGCUCGUACGAACCAUAGGAAUAGUUAGGAUACAUAUGUCAUGACAUAGGAUUCCGAUAUGUGAUAUCGUGUAAGACCACAUUUGAGAUGUUGGCAUCGAUUUGAGAUUUACGUGUAAGACUAUGUCUGGGACAUUUACAUCAUAUAUGAUUUCGUGUAAGACCCUGUCUGGGACAGUGGCAUCGUUAUUUGAUUACAUGUAAGACCACGUCUGGGACGUUGGCAUUGUAUGAGUUUUUCGAGUUAUCCUUAUUGAUUUUGAACAGUUCGACGGGCAAUAUCGAGAAAUGAAUGAUUAUGUAAAAAUGUAUCCGAUUCAGGCACGUGUGAUUUGUUUAUGUAAUUCAGAAAUGAAAAGUGAGUAUGUUUCAAAUGACUAUACGUGAAAUACAUGACAAUGAAUGAUGCUUAUGUAGUAAAUUAAAUCAUAUGAGAAAAGUGAAUGUAUAUAUGUUUGAAAUUGUUUGUAUUCGGCCUAUUUGAAUUGAAUUGUUAAUAAUCUUAUAAUGAUUUAUUUGCUUAUGGAUUACUAAGCUUUCCAAGCUUACUUUGUUUGCUUAUCCGUUGUUUUAUAGAUUUUGAAAGCUAGCUCCAAGCUCGGGGAUCAUCUAGGAUCAUCGUCACACUAUCGACUAUUACUCGGUAUUUUUGAAGUUUGAAACUAUGAACAUAUGGCAUGUAUAGGCUGCUUUUUAUAUGUUUGUUUUUGAAAUUUGUAUAUAGAUAGCGAUGCGAAAAUGGCUUGAUUAUAAUGUUAAAGCUUGUGUGUAUGUGGCUACGGCUUAAACUUAUUUUGGAAGUAUGUUUCUU